GCCAGGAGGGGCGGCGUGAAGCGCAUCUCGGGGCUCAUCUACGAGGAGACCCGCGGCGUGCUCAAGAUCUUCCUCGAGAACGUCAUCCGCGACGCCGUCACCUACACUGAGCACGCUCGCCGCAAGACCGUCACCGCCAUGGACGUCGUCUACGCGCUCAAGCGCCAGGGCCGCACCCUCUACGGCUUCGGCGGCUAGAUUCGUGUCGUGUGUCCGUGUGUUCUGUGGAAGACGGGUUUUACUACUGCUUUGGCGUGCGUCGUUGUGUUCCGUCUUGUGUUCAUUAGGCUGUAAUUCCUUGUUGCGGUCAAUGAAACUAGUUCUGUUCUGAAUCCUGACCUGAAGUGCAAUUGGUUUGACUUAGAUGAAAUGCAAUUGGAUGAACGAUUUAUCACUCGUUGCAAUCUGUACAGAUGCAGAAGUAUUGUUGGAGUGGUAAAAUGUGAAUCAAGACGCCAGAUGCAUAUUCCUGAAAUACUGACCAAGUGCUUCGCUGUGUUGAAUUCGGUUUUGGUUUUCUAAGGUUGGUUGGUUUGAUAUUAGAUUUCUCAUUUUAGAUCGUGUAUAGCUGAAGUGCAGUUGAUUUGUCUUAGCUGAACUGCAGUUGAUUGAACGAUUUACCACUCGUUGCAACCUGUAGAAGGGGCGCAUCCUUUUGAUUUGGUUUGGUUUCACUGGGGAACGAAUCUUGUUUUUUUUUUCUGUGCAGAUCUACAGAUGCACAGGUGUGGUUGUUGGAGUGGUACGAACCCUCCAUUAAAAUGUGAAAUCAAGAUGCAAGAUACCUAUUCCUUAAAUCUUCACCAAGUGCUUCGAUGUGUUGGAUCCGGUUUUGAUUUUUGUAAGUCUGGUUAAUUUGUUUUAUUAUUAUAUUUCUUGCUUUAGAUCGUAUAGCUCUACUGCUGGACUGUACAUUUGAGUUAUAAUUGAAAUGCAACUGAACCAAUGUUUACAUUGGACAGAUAGCUGAACUGCAAUGGAUCCAGUAUUGAACGUUCGAGUUGUUGCUGAAAUGCAAUUGAAUGAAUAAUUAUCACUCAUUGCAAUCUGUAGAAGAGACGGACCCUUCUGUUUGGUUUUGGUUUUGCUGGGGAGUGAAUCUUGAUUUUUUUUUUCUGCAGAUCUACAUACCCCAAAGUGGUCGGACCCUUCCCUGGACCCUGCACAAGCGGGAGCUACAUGCACCAGGUUGCCCUUUUAUCUACAUACUCCAAAUGUAUAUAAAAUUUCUGAAUGAUACAUCAAGCCUCUGGAGUAUAUAAAAUUUUGAAUGUUUCAAUGUUGGUGGGGUGUAAAUAAUCUAGUCAAUACAAAUAUGAAAUCAAAACGCCAAAUAUGGCCUUCUAUUCCUGAAUGAAACAACAACGAGCAUGUGGAGCAACUAUCAGAAUGUUUCUGAAUGAUACAUUAAGCACUGGGGCAAUCAAAACAUUUCUGAAUGAUACAUCAAGCCUCUGGAGCAACCAUCAGAUUUGAAAUAGUACAUCCGACAACUACAACUGCAUGCUGUAUGUAGAACAACUAUCUGAGGCUCUGCACUAAACUGAUAUUUUUCCUAAUAAUCAGCUCGUUCCUCAGAGGAAUGUACAGUAGAGAUUAUAUUCCUUUCCUAAUAAUAAUCUUGUUCCUCAGAAGGAUAUACAGUACUACAACCAACUCGUAGGAUGAUUUUUCUUCUUUGAGAAAUUGUAAGUCCCUAUCAAUAAUUCUCUAGAGCAGGAAUUGCUUGCCGGUGUAUGUUUUGCCAAACUCCCAAUCCUUGGGCACAACGUUAAAAUUGGUCAUCGUCGUGCCGUCACUCGAGGUGAGCUCAAAGGACACCGGCUGCCCUGUGAGAUCUAAGUUGAUGUGCCAUAUCUGGCCCCAGUUGCGGCCCAUAUCGAGCCAGCCAGACUCUGUUCCUUUGAUCUUCACUGAUCUGACAUCGCCAGCGCCACCGACAUUGCUGAUUAGGACUGUGAAGAAGAAGCUCUUCCCGGAGACCGAGAACCGCACGCCGCCUUCACGAAGGCACUUGACGCUGUUCAUAAGAAAACAAGUCAAUCUCAGCAAAGAAUCAGAGGCAUUUUUUCUGACAGGUUAAUGCUAUUAGUAGCUUUAUUUGUCCUUGUUGUUUGUUCUCAUGCAAAUCCUGCAAACUACUCCCUCCGCCCCAUAAUGUAAGACGUUUUUUCACACUAGUGUAGUGUCAAAAAACGCCUUACAUUGUGGGACGGGGGGAGUACUUAACAAGUAAUGAAAUGGUGUGACAUAGAUGAGUCCCAAAUCAUAGUAGGAUGUAUAUUUCCAUGUCAAUUGUCCUACGAAACAUGAAAUCUCCAGGAUCACGAAAACACAUUGAUAGCAGAAUGUUGUACAAAUCCGUCAUUCAGGAAACCAUCUCAAAGAAUCACCUCAAUUUUUCAAAUUACUAGACAACUUAGACGCACGUAAAGAUUAUUACACCCUUCUAUAAUAUACUUUUCAGUUUAGCAUACAUGCACGUUUUUAACUUUGUAUUCUGAAUGGCACAGGAGUAGAACCUCACUAAUUUACAGAUGCGAUCGUAGUCUGUUUGAAUCUCAAACAGUAACAAAUUAAAUGAAGUGUAAGCACAAGCUAAGAUGAUUAGUUUCAGUUCAAGAAAGUCCUAGUAGUAAAAAUAAUUAAUGAAGUUUUCUCUGGAAAAAUAAUCAAAUGAAGUUGUUUCAAAGGGAACUCAAAGAGCUACCAACCAGUGCAUAAAUAUCUAACACAAACAUAGAAUAUUAAGGACAACCACAAAUAAUGUGCCACUACAACUUGCAGGGCCAGUUUGAUUGUCACCAGGUAGUACCUGAGAAGCAGAUAACUUGUGUAGCUUUAUUAGUGAUGAUGUGCAUUUUUGCUGUUUCGUGAAACAGUGGUUUGUUCUCUACCAUACAUUUAUUCUUUCUCUUUGGAAUAGUGCUAAUUGCUAUUCGCUAACAGUAAAGGAGCUAUAUAACAGCUGAUGAAGCUAAAGUCUGACAUAGUUUAGUUGCAGAGCACAGCAGGGUUGAUAUUGCUGCCAAUUGCCUCAGGCGAUGAUUUGGAACAUCAAAUCUUGAGGAUAAAAAAUGCACAUUAACAACACAUUUCAUUAAACCUGUCAUUCAUCAAAGCAUCUAGAAGAAGUACCUGUCUCUGCUACACCUUUUAAGUGUGGCAUAUAUGCAGGUUCCUAACUUUAUGUUCUGAACAGCACCAGCAUAGUGCUUGCUAAUUUACCAAAUUUGAGUGUGAAGUGUUACCAUUCGCCAUAUCCUAAUAUGUUUGGAUCUUAAAUACCAAUAACAAACCAAAAAAAGGGUAAAGCUAAGAUGAUUAAACAAUCAGGCAAGUCACUAUCCAAAGUUCCUUUUUAACACAGUUUUAGUAGUACAAAUAAUCAACUAGAUUUCCCUCAAGAAAAUAAAUCAAGUUGUUUAAAGGAUCCCAAGGAGCUACCAACUGGCAUAAAUAUCAAACAUAACCACAGAAUAUUAAGGACAACACCAGUUAAUGCGCCACUACUAUUUGUAGGGCCAGUUUGGUGAUACCGGGUACUGGAGGGCACAUCAUGUAAACCCAGAAGCAAAUAACCUGGUGAUGCUAGUUCGGUGCACAUCAACAACUCUAGAAGUUCCAAAAAAAAUCUUGCAACCUCUCCAUUAAUAUGGUUCAACCAGUCCUUACAGCAGUCAAUAGAAUAUUUAAGCACUAACUGUCAAUAAGAUCCACAUUUCCCAGAAUUCCUCAGUUAUCAACAAAAUACAGGAUAAUCACUCAGAUAAGAGGUGCUUAGUUUCUUUAUGUUUUUAAUUAAUUUUCAUAUGAGUUAUCAUAGCUCAGCAUACCGAUUCUGCACUCUAGUAACCAUAGACUGUCGUGAAUUGUGGAAUAAAAUUUAGAUGAUGUGAAAAUAUAUGCAAUGAUGAAUCCAAUGAUAUAUAUUUGGUGGUGUAUAUGUUAAUAUAUUUUUCUACAAACUUGUUUAAAGUAUAUAAAGUUUGACUUCAGACAAACGUAAUAUGCGGAGUAAAUAAAAACGGAGGGAGGACAACUAGUUAUCACCAGCUGCAUUAUCAUCAUCAAGAUGAUAGCGCUGUUUUAAUUCUAAGAGAGCCCCAAAGAACAAAAUAAACUCAAGGAGCCACGAAAGUCUAAUGCUUACACCAAUGAAUAUGAUGCAAAUACUGAACCAAACUGUAGUACAGUACUAUAAUUGAUCAAAUCACGCAAACCGAGCAUGUGAUACUCUAGAUAGUCAAUGGCUCGAUGCUGCAUCAAAAGGCUCAUAGGUGCUUUCCUCCUAACCCAAACACCAAAUCACAUUAGUACAUUUAUUUACACUUGGUUCUAUGCAUCUUUGUACUACCUUGUUAGUAAAGGAAGGCCACAUUAGAGCAGAUAAAACUACCCUAAUUCGAAUCCUAACCAAAAGAACUUGCACUUCACCACAGUGGAAGAGGGUCCACUUGAUCCCCUCCACACUUUCCUCACCAACGGACACUUGCAAUUCAGCUUUUUUGGGAUCCCACAUUGCGGCAAACCAAAGCAAUCUCUAGCUUGGCAAGCACUUUCCCAGCUCUACACAAAUUGAAUCAGGAAACCGAGGAAACUUUGGCCUUAGAUCUAGCCGAACAUGGAGUGCAAAGCAGAGCGAGAUCGAGUGCAGGCAAGAAUGGAGCAUACGUACCGGCGGUACUGGAUGGGCAUGACGCCGGCCUUCCAGAGCGCAAUCUUCUCGAAUGCCUGGAUGGGGAGGAGGAAAUGGUGGUUGGGCGGGUUGCAGACGCCGCCGGCGUCGGCGGGGAAUCCGUAGUUGGGCGGGCAGAAGUUGGUGGCGGUGACGACGAUGGAGGUGCCGGGGAGGCAGUACUUGAGGUCCUCCACGCACUUGACCUCGUAGCAGCCCCCGCAGGCGGCGCCGCGCUCGAACAGCGCCGUGCUCAGCCCCACCGUUGCCAUCCCGUACCCGUGCUUCCCCAGAUCCCCGAACCCGCACGCGCCACCUGCACGCCGCACCCCACAAAAAGAAAAUCACAGAUCAGCUCCGUGCCCAUGUCCAUGGCCGCCAGGAUCGCAAGAACCGACUGUGGUACGAGCAGAGAAGCUCCGGUAACCGAGCGUGCGGUUUGUGGAAAUUCCGUUGGCGGCAACAUACCGAAAGAGGAAAAGUGAACUAAUUAAUGCCUGCAGCAUGGACGCGAGGAAUUUUGGUAGGAGCGCAAGGACGGUUUGGUGGAUUCGUUUCUUGGACUGCUGCCAUGACGGAGAGCUAGGCGAGGUUUGUUGGUGCUUACCGAUGGCGUCCCCGGGGUCGGCGGCGAAGUAGGAGGACUUGGCGUUGCGCCAUUCGGAUAGGGCGGAGGAGCCGUAGGAGGAGGGGUGCUGGUGGCCGGCGGCGAGGGCCGGGAGGAGGAAGACGACGAGGAGGAUGAGCGGGGGAGCCAUGGCUCCCAGCAAGCAGCUUUUCGUCCGUGCGCUUGCUUCUCAGUGAAGUGAAGCAGGGGAGAGUGUGAAAUGGAGGUGCUGUGCUUCGGUGUUCUGUCUUUUUAUUUUGCAGGUUCUGGGGCCUUCUUUGCCUUUAUACAUGUGCACACGGGUAUAUUUUUAGUGCAGGUUCUCUUCUCGAGUGCUCCAGCUUUUGAUCGAUUAAUUCUUUUCUUUUCGGGAAAGAGUGCAUUUGCUCGUCUGUUUUGUUUCCUUUCCUGGUGCACCGCAGCUUAUUGCUUCGGUGAAACGGCAAAAUUAGAGCACUUACAAUCGGACUUUGCAAAUUCGGCUCCUCAAACGUUCGCAGAUAGUGACCGGUCACGUCUUAAACUAAUCAUUCUAUAUCACCUUUUUCACAUUUCAAUCCUUAGAUUCAUACAAAGCAUGCAAAAAAAAAAAUCAUACGCACGUACCCUAACUAAUCUUCGUUGUCGGAGACGUCCACAACAAUGUGUCGGGCGCCGGUUGCACGGGCGGGUAGGAGGGUGCCGGCUGCUCGACCUCAUCCAUAUAGGCGAGCAUCUCCGUCUCCUCCGCGACCUACUGCGCCUCGAUCUCCUGCCGGCGACGGCGUCUGGCCUCCGCAGCCGAUUCCGACGGGAGGGAAUCGAGGAUGGUCUGCUGCUCCGCCUGCAAAUCCACUGCAUCCGGAGGUAGCCCCUCGGCGAUCCGGACUUCACGCUUAGCCCGGAUCUGCUGAAGGAGCUCGAGCCGGCACUCCGGCGCCAUAAAUGGCCCGCUCUUCACCCGACGGCGUGGAGGCAUGGCUACUAAGCGGACGGGUGAAGUAAAAAGUGGCGAUGUGAACGGACAUGUGGAAGAAAAUGUGGAUGGACGGUAGGGUUUCGGCGCCGCCGGUCGACUUAAAUAGCUGGGCUAGGCACUAAGUGACCCGCCGGAGCUGCGUCACGCGGCCAGUGCUCAAAAGGAGACGAGCUUCGGAUCGUCGGGUUUCCAGGUGUUUUCGGCUGGGACCCCGCCGCCAGUUCGACGUGGCAGGUGUGCCCGGACGCGUUCGGACGCCCCAUAUCCGUCACAUAUUUAGACUGGAUAUGAGGGUGUCGGUCAGCCCGGGCGUUUGAAGUCUGUUUGAGAUGUCUAUCUGAAUCGAAAAAACAUGACCGAUGAGUGACUGGACGGACUGCCGGGCAUUUGAGGCCGGUUUGGGACCCACGGCUUAGAUGCUCUUAACAAAUUCUAUCAUGAGUGAGAGGUUCAUGAUAAACCCGGAUCGACGGUCAGUACUGCCGACGCUGCUCGAAACAGUUGUGUUAAGGUACUCGUAGAUACUCUCUCGAUUACUAGUAGCAAUCACUUGCGGAUACAAGUUUGGUGGCGAUUACAGGAACGAUACAAGAAUUUGGUUGCUAGGGUUCGACGCGAGACAGGAAGAGGAAAGGGGAAAAGAGCCGAGCCGCCGUUGUCGUGAUCCUCUGGAUAACCCUAGGACGCUGCCGCUCCUCUCCUCAAGUAGCUUCCAGGACGGGCUUCAGUUAACCCACGCUGGGCCGGAGACGCGUGGGUUGGGCUUCCUGGGCCGGGCCGCACGUGGAGCCGUGGAGACCUGAUCGUUGGUGUUGCCUUGCGGGCCGGCCCUAUCAGGGACGCUGACAUCCCCCUCUUCUUGAGCAGAGGCUUGCCCCAAGCCUCCGCGAGCGAGAAACGCUCCCUGAGACUCGCCUUGUCUUCCCAAGUUUCGCCGAGCGUCUCUGAAUUGGACCAACGGACGAGCACUUGUUCCCUCAUCUUGCCCUUCUCCUGGAGCCAUCUUGAUUGCAGAACUGCCACAGGAACCGCGAGCUCAUCAUAACAAUGAGGUAACUGAGGUUCAACAGCCAUACCCGUGCUCAGGACGCGUCGAAGGAGCGAGACGUGGAAGACUGGAUGGAUAGUUGCUUGCGAAGGAAGCUGGAGCUUGUAGGCGACAUCGUUGAUCUUGCCGAUGAUAGGAAAUGGACCGUAGUACUUGAAUGCCAGCUUGUGAUUUGCUCGUGGCGCGACGGAGGUUUGGAUAUAUGGUUGCAGUUUCAGGUACACUUGAUCGCCCACUUCAAACUGACGGAACGAUCGCUUCUUAUCCGCCUGGCUUUUCAUCAGCUGUUUUGCUCUGUUCAGGUGUUGCUGUAACAGUUCCUGCACCGUAUCCCUUUCCUCGAGCCACGAGCUGAGUGCUGGCACUGAACAGGUGUUGUUUGCUGUUAUCCCCCAGUGCCGUGGCUCGUAACCGAACAUAGCUUUGAAGGGCGUCAUGCCUAUGGCCGAAUGGUGUGAGUUGUUGUACCAGAACUGAGCUAACGGGAUCCAAAAACUCCACCGCCUGGGAUAAGCUUGAGUGAAACACCUCAAGAAUGUUUCCACACACUGGUUAACUCGCUCUGUUUAGCCAUCCGUUUGCGGGUGGUUGGCUGUGCUGAGUCUAAGUUGUGUGCCUGCGGCCUUGAAAAGCUCCUGCCAAAAGUGGCUAGUGAACACAGGAUCGCGAUCUGAUACUAUUGCUCCCGGGAGACCAUGCACUCUGUAGACUUGUUGGAUGAAAAGUUGGGCCACCGAUGCUGCUGUGUAUGGGUGCGCUAGUGGCAAGAAGUAGCUGAACUUGGUUCGCUUGUCUACAAUCACCAGGAGACAGUUGAACCGGCUGGAUUGUGGGAGGCCGUCCACAAAAUCCAUGGAUAUCAUAUCCCAAGGUUUGUUAGGGAUUGGUAACGGCAGCAAGAGACCUGGUGAAGCUGCCCGAUCUAGUUUCGCUUGCUGGCAUAUGACACAACACUGCACAUAGUGUUUGAUUUGAACUUUCAUUUUGGGCCAUGCAAAGAGACGCCUGAUGCGUCUGUAAGUGACUGGGAAUCCCGAGUGACCCCCUACUAGGCUGUCAUGAAACGCUUGGAUUAUACGUUGUUGUAUGUGUGUUCCUCCUCCCAGCCAAAUUCUGCCUUUGAACCUGAUGAUGCCUUGCUGCAGUAAGAACCUGCCUUUGGGAUCGUCACGCACAACCAGCUGUUCCAAUAGUUUAUGCGCCUGCGGGUUGUUGUUAUAACUGUUGAUAGCAUCUUCUAACCAACUAGGUUGACAUGACGUGACCACUGAUAGCACCUCCGCUGGACUGGCGCGUGACAAGGCGUCCGCGCCGUUGUUUUCAGAUCCCUUCUUGUACUUGAUGCGAUACUGGAGUCCCAACAGCUUGGUAAAAGCUUUCUGUUGCCAUGGUGUGUUCAGCCGCUGUUCCUCCAGGUGAGUGAGGCUCUUCUGAUCUGUAUAUAUGACAAAUUCUGCGUUUUGCAAAUAAGGGCGCCAUUGAUCUACGGCCACGAUGAUUGCCAGAUAUUCUUUUUCGUAUGUGGACAGACCCUGAUAUCUCAGACUCAACGCUUUGCUCAUGAAUGCAAUGGGGUGUCCUUGUUGCUGCAGAAUUGCUCCAAUGCCUGUGUCGCAUGCAUCUGUCUCCACUGUGAAAGGCUGCUCGAAGUUCGACAAUGCUAGCACUGGUGCGGAGAUUAGGUGCUUCUUCAGGACUUGGAAAGCUGUUUCCGUGAUCGAUGUCCACUGAAAUGGCACGCCUUUCUUCAACAAAUUGAACAGCGGUCGUGCUAUCACUCUGAAAUUGCGCACAAAACGGCGAUAGUACCCUGCGAGACCCAGAAAGCUUCGGACUCCCUUGAUAUCUUGCGGUGAGGUCCAGUUGGUAACUGUUGCUAUCUUGGCCGGGUCCGUGGCUACCUUGCGAGCACUGAUGACAUGGCCUAGGUAGGAUACCUGGCUUUGCCCAAACGCACACUUGCUGCGCUUAACUUUCCACUGAUCCUUGCGUAGCAGUUCCAACACCUGCAGCACCUGGCACUUGUGCUCCUCUAACGUAGCACUGAAGAUUAAGAUGUCAUCGAAGAAGCAUAGCACGCAGACACGUAGCACUGGCUUGAGGGUUGUAGUCAGCCCUUCUAUGAACAUGGGUGGAGCCCCAGCCAACCUUGAACUCGAAGUGCCCCUGAUGCGUGGAGAAUGCCAUCUUGUACUCCUCCCCCGACGUGAGCCUGAUCUGAUGAUAGCCUGCGUGCAAGUCGAGCUUUGAAAACCACGCUGCACCAUGUAGCUCACCCAGGAGCUCUUCUAUAACAGGAAUUGGAAACUUGCCGACGACUGUAAUGGCAUUCAGUUGUCUGUAAUCUAUACAGAGACGCCAGGUUCCAUAUUUCUUCUUAACAAGUAUGACUAGAGAUGAAAAAGGACUAUUUCUUCGCUGAAUGACUCCUGAUUUCAGAAGUGCUUCGACUUGAGCUUCUAUCUCCGUCUUCUGUUCUGGUUUGUAACGAUAUUGCCUGACAUUUACUGGCUGAGCUCCAGGUAUUAGCGGAAUGCGGUGAUCGCACGCCCUUCGAGGUGGAAGCCCUACUGGUUCCGCAAACACAUCCGAAAAUUGGUCCAAGAUUUCCUGAAUGCACGCUGGAGUUUGCUCCAAUUCCUCCUGCUGGGCAGCCACCACACAAAGGUGUAUAAUGUGUGUGAUCGAUCUGUUGCUGCACAGGUUCUGCAACUGCAAGCUAUUGAUGGACUGACAACUGGUGGAAGUCGCGUCGUGCCCCAUGAGACGAAGCGGCCCUGCUGGAGUGGGAAUCUCAAUGAAACGAGCAUGCCAGUCUACCUACAUCGGGCUAUGUUCCUCUAACCAAUCCAUGCCGAGUAUAACAUCGUACGUGCCCAGAGCCAAAACUUUCAGAUCCGUGUAGAAUUCGUGCCCUUGAGCAUACCAUGCGCAUUGCGGCGCGACCUCAGUGCAGAACAGUUCUCCCCCAUCUGCCACACGCACACGACUUGGAUUAGGCAGAGGUCGAACCCCUGAAAGUCAACUUGCUAAGUGCUCGUUGAUGAAGGAAUUGGAGCUGCCCGAGUCGAUCAGCAUGAGUACUUCAUGCCCUUGAAGCCACGCUCGCAGCUGAAAAGCUUUGGCCGAGACCCCUCCCGUAACUGCCGAAACUGAGAUGGCCAUGGCUGUAUUCUAAACCUCAUCCUCGGAGCUCAUUUGAGUGUCGACGAAACUGUCAAGGCCGAAGAUAUCCAGAAGCUCCUCAACUACAUGCAGCUGCACUGUGGUGGGGCAUACAUGAUCGUGCCCCCAUCGUUCACCGCACUUAAAGCACAGCGUGCCCCCAUCGUUCACCGCACUUAAAGCACAGCCCCCGAGCUCGUCGGUAAUCACGGAGGGUCUUGAGCUUGGACGCGUCAGCGCGGGCCGCGUCUGUACCACGACGAUCUGCUGCCUGCGUCGCUGGUACCGAUCGCACCGGAGGUGGGUGAAGUGGCAUGGGAGUGCCUCCCCGCUUGAAAGAUCGUGGAUGUCGCCUAGAGGGGGGGAGGGGGGAAUAGGCGUUUUAAAAUAAUUACGGUUUAGGCUUGAACAAAUGCGGAAUAAACCUAGCGGUUAAUUUGCCAAGCACAAAACCUAAAACAACUAGGCUCACCUAUGUGCACCAACAACUUAUGCUAAGCAAGAUAAGCAACUAUGUGAUAGCAAGAUAUAUGACAAGAAACAAUAUGGCUAUCACAAAGUAAAGUGCAUAAGUAAAGGGGCUCGGGUAAGAGAUAACCGAGGCACGCGGAGACGACGAUGUACCCCGAAGUUCACACCCUUGCGGAUGCUAAUCUCCGUUUCGAGCGGUGUGGAGGCACAAUGCUCCCCAAGAAGCCACUAGAGCCACCGUAAUCUUCUCACGCUCUCGCACAAUGCAAGAUGCCGUGAUUCCACUAAGGGACCCUUGAGGGCGGUCACCGAACCCGUACAAAUGGCAACCCUUGAGGGCGGUCACCGAACCCGUACACUUUGGCAACCCUUGGGGGCGGUCACCGGAACCCGUCAAAUUGCUCGGGGCAAUCUCCACAACCUAAUUUGAGACCCCGACGCUUGCCCGGAUCUUUAGACCACAAUGAUUGAGCUCCGAACACCACCAACCGUCUAGGGCACCCAAGCACCCAAGAGGAACAAGCUCAAGGGUACCAAGCACCCAAGAGUAAUAAGCUUCUCAACUUGUAACUUCCACGUAUCACCAUGGAGAACUCAAACCGAUGCACCAAAUGCAAUGGCAAGGGCACACGGAGUGCCCAAGUCCUUCUCUCUCAAAUCCCACCGAAGCAACUAAUGCUAGGGAGGAAAAUGAGAGGAAGAACAAGAAAGAGAACACAAAGAACUCCAAGAUCUAGAUCCAAGGGGUUCCCCUCACAUAGAGGAGAAAGUGAUUGGUGGAAAUGUGGAUCUAGAUCUCCUCUCUCUUUUCCCUCAAAAACUAGCAAGAAUCCAUGGAGGGAUUGAGAGUUAGCAAGCUCAAAGAAGGUCAACAAUGGGGGAAGAACACGAGCUCCAAGGAUAAGGUUCAUUGGGGAAGAAGACCCCCUUUAUAGGAGGGGGAAAAUCCAACCGUUAUGUGCUCAGGCCGCACACGAGCGGUACUACCGCUCCACGAGCGGUACUACCGCUCAGGUGGAAGAAACAGGGAAAAGGAGCAACAAAACAUGAACCUUAGGGCGGUAGUACCGCAGGAGACAGCGGUACUACCGCUGGGUUAAGCGGUACUACCGCUCCCUUCAACGGUACUGCCGCGCAGAACGAAGGGUAAAGGGAAAGAGGGAACCGGGCGGUACUACCGCGGAGGAAGGGCGGUACUGCCGCUAAGGAGCGGUACUGCCGCACUACUGCCAGCGAGGUACCGCACAAUCCGACAUAGAAAAAGACCCCUCGAAACGACGUGGUAGGGACCUGGUAAGCCAACGGUAGUACUGCUGCGGAGUCACCGCUGGUACUACCGCUUCGGAGCGGUACUGCAGCUUGUGACCCCUCAACAAUGGGGGAAGAACACGAGCUCCAAGGAUAAGGUUCAUUGGGGAAGAAGACCCCCUCUAUAGGAGGGGGAAAAUCCAACCGUUAUGUGCUCAGCCCGCACACGAGCGGUACUACCACUUAGGUGGAAGAAACAGGGAAAAGGAGCAACAAAACAUGAACCUUAGGGCGGUAGUACCGCAGGAGACAGCGGUACUACCGCUAGGUUAAGCGGUACUACCGCUCCCUUCGGCGGUACUGCCGCGCAGAACGAAGGGUAAAGGGAAAGAGGGAACCGGGCGGUACUACCGCGGAGGAAGGGCGGUACUGCCGCUAAGGAGCGGUACUGCCGCACUACUGCCGCAGCGAGGUACCGCACAAUCCAACACAGAAAAAGACCCCUCGAAACGACGCGGUAGGGACCUGGUAAGCCAACGGUAGUACUGCUGCGGAGUCACCGCCGGUACUAUCGCUUCGGAGCGGUACUGCCGCUUGUGACCCCUUAGCGGUACUACCGCUGGAUACCACGGUACUACCGCUGGGACCCUGACAAAACCACACUCAAGAAAAGAAGAACUGCCAUAACUUCUGCAUAUGAGCUCCGAAUUGAGCAAACUCAAGCUUGUUGGAAACAAGACGACGAGUAGCAUCAAAACAGCGGCUGGUUAUAGUAAGAAGAGGCAGGGGAGGUAUGCAUAACAAAAAGAGGAGUGAAACCUCCAACCGAGAAGAAUCGGCAAAACCUCCAACAUCGAAAACAUCAUAGAAGAGGCAUGCGAACUCCGUUUUCGAUGAACUCAAGCUUGUCAUCAAGAUGACCAUAAGCUCUAAGAUUCACAAAGAGAACCAAACAAGAACCAAGAAAUAUGAUGCAAGGAUGCAAUGGUUUGAGCUCUCUACGAACGAUACGAUCAAGCUACUCAUCGAGAGCCCCCCUUGAUAGUACGACAAUCGAUCCUAUAACCCGGUCUCCCAACUACCAUCAUGAGACCGGUAAAAUAGAAAACCUACCAAGGGCAAACCUUUGCCUUGAACAUGGUCCAUUUGAGCUAGAUGAUGACGAUCUUGACUCCCUCAAGUUGGACCACCUUUCUUGAUUGGGUUGACUCGAUGAAGACUAGUUGAUUGCUCCCCCAUACUCCACUAUGGGUGAGCCACUCUUCCGCACAUCUUCACAAGUCCAUUGUCACCACAAAGGAUGGCAAGCUUCAAGCAUUUGAUCUCUUCGUGAUGCUCCACUUGAAAUUGCACACCGCAACCUUUCUUGAUUGUGUUGACUCAAUGAAGACUAGUUGAUUGCUCCCCCAUACUCCACUAUGGGUGAGCCACUCUUCCGCACAUCUUCACAAGUCCAUUGUCACCACAAAGGAUGGCAAGCUUCAAGCAUUUGAUCUCUUCGUGAUGCUUCACUUGAACUUGCACACCGCAACCUAACCCCACAAAGAACCCUCACGAAGACCAUGGGUCAGUACACAAAGCGUAAUUGGCAAUGCUUACCAUACCAUGGGAUCACUUGAUCCCUCUCAAUACAUCUUCUACGCUUUGUGGGUUGAUCAGCUUGAUUCACUCUUUGACUUAGUCUUGAUCAACCUCUCACAAGACCAAUCUUUAGGUAAUUCCUUGAAUAGCACCUUGGUCGACACAAACUCUCCUUGAACCCAACACAUGUACUCCAAGAAAAGUCUAUGGACAAAACCUUCAAAUAUAACUCAAGGCAACCAUUAGUCCAUAGAGAUUGUCAUCAAUUACCAAAACCAAACAUGGGGGCACCGCAUGUUCUUUCAAUCUCCCCCAUUUUGGUAAUUGAUGACCAUCACUUUCAAGAGAGUUUAAUACACGGAAUUAUGCAUCACCAUGCAAUGCAACAACUAAUAAUGCAUGCGUAUGAGAUGCAAAUGCUUAGGAACAAAACCAAAGCAAGGAGAAAACUCUAAAGACUUCUCCACAAAACUCUCUGAAACCUCCACAAAACUCUCUGAAACUUCUCCCCCAUUGGCAUCGAUUGCCAAAAUGGGCGAAAAGCUUAGAAGGCCAAUAUAGAUUGAGUUCCUCCAGAAGUUGUGUAUUUCUCAACAAGAGAGAGGAAUGCAAUACACAUAUCCAACGGUAAAUACUUGGAGGAAGACAAACUAUAUUGAGGCCCAAAGAUUGCUAAAGGAAGAUAUGCCACAAAGACAUAAUCGACAGAGACACAAGCAAUCAAGCGAUCAAAAGAUACCAAUUGAAGCAAGCUAUCAAAAGAUACCAAUUGAACCAACUAGGCCAAUGAUCCUACGAGCCACAAGAAAGAAAGAUAUUAUGAUAUGAGCAUAGGAGUGUUCUAAAGAAACUAGAGAAGCUCCCCAUGAUUUGUGCACAUCAAGAAUUUUUGUAUUUGGAUACAAAGUGCACAAAAUAGGAUCAUAGCUCCCCCAAAAUCAAUAGAAACUUACAACAAGUGCAAGUGAGCAUAAAGGAAACUAAGCCUAGUACUUGCAACAAACACAUGGUUGAGCAACAAGUGAAAGAGGCAACUUAAGAAUGGGCUCAACCAAAAUGAUGUGUGAGAGUCAAGGCAAUGCACUUGAGAAGACUAAUGUACGGAUGAGCAUUAAGCAUCAAUAAAGUCUUGAAAGAAUGAGGCAACACGGUGCAAGGCCUAUCAUUACCACACACAACAAGCAAAUGGGUUCACAAGCUUACUAAUAAGCAUAUAAAGAACCUAUGCUUGUGACAACCCGUGGUGAAGAUAGAAGAUGAAAGCCUCAUCAAGAUGAGGGAUAUCAAUUAAGAUGGCAAAAGCCUCGUAAAGAUAAGCAUGACGAAAAUAAUCUUCACCACUCAAGAGUGCAUCAAGAUGCAACGAGAUAAGACACGCACUCAAGGCAAAAGCUUUCAUGGAGCCACCAAAGAAAUAACAUAAGAAAGACAAGGUGGUUGUGAAAGAAAGGAUAUCAACUAGAUAUGCAACUUUUCUCAAGUGUAUAAGAUUCUAGGUAGACGAAAUCAUGAUGAUAUAUAUCUACAAAGAAGGAUGUACAUGCGAAAUAGUUGCAACACGAGGAACAAGAUAUCCACAAGGAAAUCAUAAAUAUACCAAUAAGAUAUUUGCUUGAAAGCAUAGCACAUGGCUAGAUAAGGUCUUAUUGCAUAUAAAUGAAUUCCAACCACACGAACAUCAAAGACAUCACAACUAGCAACAAGACAUCAUUGUUGGGAUGCUUUGAGAAAGGAAACAAGUAUCACAAGAGAGAAUGGAUAACAUGCCAUGAUACAACCUACGAAAGGUUGAUGCAAGAAAUGUGUGCAUGAAGUAGAUGAUGAUACUUGUUACCGAGAUACCAUUGGAUGGAUGUAGUAGAUGCCAAUUAAAGGUAGAUAGUAGUUCAUUAAUCAUCCUAGCUUGACUCCAAUAAGCACAUGGUGACACCACCUUCCUUGUGAGUGAGCCGAGCAUCCAAUGCAUCUCCACUUGUUCCUAGAACAACAACACAAACAAAAUGGUACCCAAACUCAUUGGGACCAAAGAGUUAGAGAACCAACAACACAUAGGACAAACUCCACAUAAAUAUGUGCAUAUAGAUAUGAAAAUGAAUUUCAUGCACAUCUCAUCCAAUUUGAGACUUGGUGGAGUUCACCCUAUAUAUUGGGUCAAAGAAAGCAAACAUGCCAAAGAAACUACAAGAAGUAAAUAUGCAUGCUCAAGACUUUCAAGAACCGAGACCAAAAGACAAAGAAAUACCAAGCGAAGAAAAGAUACCAAAUGAAUAAAUCAUCACUUGGAGGAUAUCCAUUAAAGAUACAUCAAGGAAUGAGAUAUCUGAAGGAAAUAUGCCCUAGAGGCAACAAUAAAAGUUAUUAUUUCCUUAUAUCAUGAUAAAUGUUUAUUAUUCAUGCUAGAAUUGUAUUAACCGGAAACAUAAUACAUGUGUGAAUACAUAGACAAACAGAGUGUCACUAGUAUGCCUCUACUUGACUAGCUCGUUAAUCAAAGAUGGUUAUGUUUCCUAACCAUGGACAAAGAGUUGUCAUUUGAUUAACGGGAUCACAUCAUUAGUUGAAUGAUCUGAUUGACAUGACCCAUUCCAUUAGCUUAGCACCCGAUCGUUUAGUAUGUUGCUAUUGCUUUCUUCAUGACUUAUACAUGUUCCUAUGACUAUGAGAUUAUGCAACUCCCGUUUGCCGGAGGAACACUUUGUGUACUACCAAACAUCACAACGUAACUGGGUGAUUAUAAAGGAGCUCUACAGGUGUCUCCAAAGGUACAUGUUGGGUUGGUGUAUUUCGAGAUUAGGAUUUUUCACUCCGAUUGUCGGAGAGGUAUCUUUGGGCCCUCUCGGUAAUGCACAUCACUGAAGCCUUGCAAGCAUUGCAACUGAUGAGUUAGUUGCGAGAUGAUGUAUUACAGAACGAGUAAAGAGACUUGCCGGUAAUGAGAUUGAACUAGGUAUGGGAUACCGAGAUCGAAUCUGGGGCAAGUAACAUACCGAUGACAAAGGGAACAACGUAUGUUGUUAUGCGGUCUGACCGAUAAAAGAUCUUCGUAGAAUAUGUAGGAGCCAAUAUGAGCAUCCAGGUUCCGCUAUUGGUUAUUGACCGGAGACGUGUCUCGGUCAUGUCUACAUUGUUCUCGAACCCGUAGGGUCCGCACGCUUAAGGUGACGAUGACAGUUAUAUUAUGAGUUUAUGCAUUUUGAUAUACCGAAGGUUGUUCGGAGUCCCGGAUGUGAUCACGGACAUGACGAGGAGUCUCGAAAUGGUCGAGACAUAAAGAUUGAUAUAUUGGAAGCCUAUGUUUGGAUAUCGGAAGUGUUCCGGGUGAAAUCGGGAUUUUACCGGAGUACCGGGAGGUUACCGGAACCCCCCGGGAGGUAUAUGGGCCUUAGUGAGCCUUAGUGGAAGAAUAGAAGAGGCAGCCAGGGCUGGGCCGCGCGCCCCUCCCCCCCUUGGUCCGAAUUGGACAAGGAGAGGGGGCCGGCCCCCCUUCCUCCUCUCUCUCCUCUUCCCCCCCUCCAUGAAUCCUAUUCCAACUAGGAAAGGGGGGGAGUCCUACUCCCAGAAGGAGUAGGACUCCUCCUGGCGCGCCUCUCCUAGUCGGCCGGCCCCCCUCCCUUGAACCUUUAUAUACGGAGGCAGGGGCACCCCCUAGAGACACAAGUUGAUCCACGUGAUCAUAUUCUUAGCCGUGUGCGGUGCCCCCUUCCACCAUAGUCCUCGAUAAUAUUGUAGCGGUGCUUAGGCGAAGCCCUGCGACAGUAGUACAUCAAGAUCUUCACCACGCCGUCGUGCUGACGGAACUCUUCCCCGACACUUUGCUGGAUCGGAGUCCGGGGAUCGUCAUCGAGCUGAACGUGUGCUAGAACUCGGAGGUGCCGUAGUUUCGGUGCUUGAUCGGUCGGGCCGUGGAGACGUACGACUACAUCAACCAAACGCUUCCGUUGUCGAUCUACAAGGGUACGUAGAUCACACUCUCCCCCUCUCGUUGCUAUGCAUCACCAUGAUCUUGCGUGUGCGUAGGAAUUUUUUUGAAAUUACUACGAAACCCAACAGUGGUAUCAGAGCCAGGUUUUAUGUGUUGAUGUUAUAUGCACGAGUAGAACACAAGUGAGUUGUGGGCAAUAUAAGUCAUAUUGCUUACCAGCAUGUCAUACUUUGGUUCGGCGGUAUUGUUGGACGAAGCGGCCCGGACCGACAUUACGCGUACGCUUACGCGAGACCGGUUCUCCCAACGUGCUUUGCACAAAGGUAGCUAGCGGGUGACAGUUUCUCCAACUUUAGUUGAACCGAGUGUGGCUACGCCCAGUCCUUGCGAAGGUUAAAACAGCACCAACUUGACAAACUAUCGUUGUGGUUUUGAUGCGUAGGUAAGAUUGGUUCUUGCUUAAGCCCGUAGCAGCCACGUAAAACUUGCAACAACAAAGUAGAGGACGUCUAACUUGUUUUUGCAGGGCAUGUUGUGAUGUGAUAUGGUCAAAACAUGAUACUAAAUUUUAUUGUAUGAGAUGAUCAUGUUUUGUAACCGAGUUAUCGGCAACUGGCAGGAGCCAUAUGGUUGUCGCUUUAUUGUAUGCAAUGCAAUUGCGCUGUAAUGCUUUACUUUAUCACUAAGCGGUAGCGAUAGUCGUGGAAGCAUAAGAUUGGCGAGACGACAACGAUGCUACGAUGGAGAUCAAGGUGUCGCGCCGGUGACGAUGGUGAUCAUGACGGUGCUUCGAAGAUGGAGAUCACAAGCACAAGAUGAUGAUGGCCAUAUCAUAUCACUUAUAUUGAUUGCAUGUGAUGUUUAUCUUUUAUGCAUCUUAUCUUGCUUUGAUUGACGGUAGCAUUUUCAGAUGAUCUCUCACUAAUUAUCAAGAAGUGUUCUCCCUGAGUAUGCACCGUUGUGAAAGUUCUUCGUGCUGAGACACCACGUGAUGAUCGGGUGUGAUAGGCUCUACGUUCAAAUACAACGGGUGGAAAACAGUUGCACACGCGGAAUACUCAGGUUAUACUUGACGAGCCAAGCAUAUACAGAUAUGGCCUCGGAACAUGGAGAUCGAAAGGUCGAGCGUGAAUCAUAUAGUAGAUAUGAUCAACAUAGUGAUGUUCACCAUUGAAACUACUCCAUCUCACGUGAUGAUCGGACAUGGUUUAGUUGAUUUGGAUCAUGUGAUCACUUAGAGGAUUAGAGGGAUGUCUAUCUAAGUGGGAGUUCUUAAGUAAUAUGAUUAAUUGAACUUAAAUUUAUCAUGAACUUAGUCCUAGUAGUAUUUUGCAAAUUAUGUUGUAGAUCAAUAGCUCGCGUUGUUGCUUCCCUGUGUUUAUUUUGAUAUGUUCCUAGAGAAAAUUGUGUUGAAAGAUGUUAGUAGCAAUGAUGCGGAUUGGGUCCGUGAUCUGAGGUUUAUCCUCAUUGCUGCACAGAAUAAUUAUGUCCUUGAUGCACCGCUAGGUGAUGGACCUAUUGCAGAAGCAGAUGCAGACGUUAUGAACGUUUGGCUAGCUCAAUAUGAUGACUACUUGAUAGUUUAGUGCACCAUGCUUAAUGGCUUAGAAUCGGGACUUCAAAAACGUUUUGAACGUCAUGGAGCAUAUGAGAUGUUCCAGGAGUUGAAGUUAAUAUUUCAAGCAAAUACCCGAGUUGAGAGAUAUGAAGUCUCCAACAAGUUCUAUAGCUAAAAGAUGGAGGAGAAUCGCUCAACUAGUGAGCAUGUGCCCUGAUUGUCUGAGUACUACAAUCGCUUGAAUCAAGUGGGAGUUAAUCUUCCAGAUAAGAUAGUGAUUGACAGAAUUCUCUAGUCACCAUCACCAAGUUAGUAGAGCUUCGUGAUGAACUAUGAUAUGCAAGGGAUAACGGAAACGAUUCCCAAGCUCUUCGUAAUGCGGAAAUUGACGAAGGUAGAAAUCGAGAAAAACAUCAAGUGUUGAUGGUAUACAAGACCACUAGUUUCAAGAAAAGGGCAGAGGGAAGAAGGGGAACUUCAAGAAGAACAACAAGCAAGUUGCUGCUCAAGUGAAGAAGCCCAAGUCUGGUCCUAAGCCUGAGACUAAGUGCUUCUACUACAAAGGGACUGGUCACUGGAAGCGGAACUACCCCAAGUGAUUGGCGGAUAAGAAGGAUGGCAAAGUGAACAUAAGUAUAUUUGAUAUACAUGUUAUUGAUGUGUACUGUACUAGUGUUUAUAGCAACCCCUCAGUAUUUGAUACUAGUUCAGUUGCUAAGAUUAGUAACUCGAAACGGGAGUUGCAGAAUAAACAGAGACUAGUUAAGGGUGAAGUGAUGAUGUGUGUUGGAAGUGGUUCCAAGAUUGAUAUGAUCAUCAUCGCACACUCCCUAUACUUUUGGGAUUAGUGUUGAACCUGAAUAAAUGUUAUUUGGUGUUUGCGUUGAGCAUGAAUAUGAUUUGAUCAUGUUUAUUGUAAUACGGUUAUUCAUUUAAGUAAGAGAAUAAAUUGUUGUUCUGUUUACAUGAAUAAAACCUUAUAUGGUUACACACCCAAUGAAAAUAGUUCGUUGGAUCUCGAUCUUAGUGAUACACAUAAUCAUAAUAUUGAAACCAAAAGAUGCAAAGUUAAUAAUGAUAGUGCAACUUAUUUGUAGCACUGCCGUUUAGGUCAUAUUGGUGUAAAGCGCAUGAAGAAACUCCAUGCUGAUGGGAUUUUGGGAAUCACUUGAUUAUGAAUCACUUGAUGCUUGCGAACCAUGCCUUAUGGGCAAGAUGACUAAGACUCCAUUCUCCGGAAAAAUGGAGCGAGCAACUGACUUAUUGGAAAUAAUACAUACUGAUGUAUGUGAUCCGAUGAAUAUUGAGGCUCGCGACAAGUAUCAUUAUUUUCUGAUCUUCACAGAUGAUUUGAGCAGAUAUGAGUAUAUCUACUUGAUGAAACAUAAGUCUGAAACAUUUGAAAAGUUCAAAGAAUUUCAGAGUGAAGUGAAAAAUCAUCGUAACAAGAAAAUAAAGUUUCUACGAUCUGAUUGUAGAGAAGAGCAUUUGAGUUACGAGUUUGGCCUUCAGUUAAAAACAAUGUGAAAUAGUUUCACCACUCACGCCACCUGGAGCACCACAAUGUAAUGGUGUGUCCGAACGUCAUAACCAUACUUUAUUAGAUAUGGUGCGAUCUAUGAUGUCUCUUACCGAUCUACCACUAUCAUUUUGGGGUUAUGCAUUAGAGACAGCUGCAUUCACAUUAAAAGGGCACCAUCUAAAUCUGUUGAGACGACACCGUAUGAACUGUGGUUUGGCAAGAAACCAAAGUUGUCGUUUCUUAAAGUUUGGGGUUGCAAUGCUUAUGUGAAAAAGUUUCAUCCUGAUAAGCUCAAACCAAAUCGGAAAAGUGUGUCUUCAUAGGAUACCCAAAAAGUUACUGUUGGGUACACCUUCUAUCACAGAUCCAAAGGCAAGACAUUCGUUGCUAAGAAUGGAUCAUUUUUAGAGAAGGAGGUUCUCUCGAAAGAAGUGAGUGGGAGGAAAGUAGAACUUGAUAAGGUAAUUGUACCUUCUCCCUUAUUGGAAAGUAGUUCAUCAUAGAAAUCUGUUCCUGUGACUAUUACACCAAUUAGUGAGGAAGCUAAUGAUGAUGAUCAUGUAACUUCAGAUCAAGUUACUACCGAAUCUCGUAGGUAAACCAGAGUAAGAACCGCACCAGAAUGGUACGGUAAUCCUGUUCUGGAGGUCAUGCUACUUGACCAUGACGAACCUACGAACUAUGAAGAAGCGAUGGUGAGCCCAAAUUCCGCAAAAUGGCUUGAGGCCAUGAAAUCUGAGAUGGGAUCCAUGUAUGAGAACAAAGUAUGGACUUUGGUUGACUUGCCUGAUGAUCGGCAAGCCAUUGAUAAUAAAUGGAUCUUCAAGAGGAAGACGGACACUGAUAGUAGUGUUACUAUCUACAAAGCUAGAAUUGUCGCAAAAGUUUUCGACAAGUUCAAGGUGUUGACUACGAUGAGAGUUUCUCACUCGUAUCUAUGCUUAAGUCUGUCCGAAUCAUGUUAGCAAUUGCCGCAUUUUUAUGAAAUCUGGCAAAUGGAUAAACAAAACUACAUUCCUUAAUGGAUUUAAAGAACAGUUGUAUAUGAUGCAACCAGAAGGUUUUGUCAAUCCUAAAGGUGCUAACAAAAUAUGCAAGCUCCAGCGAUCCAUCUAUGGACUGGUGCAAGCAUCUCGGAGUUGGAAUAUACGCUUUGAUAAGUUGAUCAAAGCAUAUAGUUUUAUACAGACUUGCGGUGAAGCCUGUAUUUACAAGAAAGUGAGUGGGAGCACUACAACAUUUCUGAUAAGUAUAUGUGUAUGACAUAUUGUUAAUCGGAAAUAAUGUAGAAUUAUUCUGCAAAGCAUGAAGGAGUGUUUGAAAGGAAUUUUCCAAAGAAAGACCUCGGCGAAGUUGCUUACAUAUUGAGCAUCAAGAUCUAUAGAGAUAGAUCAAGACGCUUGAUAAGGUUUUUCAAUAAAUACAUACCUUGACAAGAUUUUGAAGUAGUUCAAAAUGGAACAGUCAAAGAAAGAGUUUCUUGCCUAUGUUACAAGGUGUGAAAUUGAGUAAGACUCAAAGCCCGACCACGGCAGAAGAUAGAAAGAGAAUGAAUGUCAUUCCCUAUGCCUUGGUCAUAGGUUCUAUAAAGUAUGCCAUGCUGUGUACCAGAUCUAUUGUAUACCCUAACACUGAGUUUGGCAAGGGAGUACAAUAGUGAUCUAGGAGUAGAUCACUGGACAACGGUCAAAAUUAUCCUUAGUGGAAUAAGGAUAUGUUUCUCGAUUAUGGAAGUGAAAAAAGGUUCGUCGUAAAGGGUUACACCGAUGCAAGUUUUGACACUAAUCUAGAUGAAUCUAAGUCUCAAUCUAGAUACAUAUUGAAAGUGGGAGCAAUUAGCUAGAGUAGCUCCGUGCAGAGCAUUGUUGACAUAAAUAUUUGCAAAAUACUUACGGAUCUGAAUAUAACAGACCCGGUGACUAAAAUUAUCUCACAAGCAAAACAUGAUCACACCUUAGUACUCUUUGGGUGUUAAUCACAUAGCGAUGUGAACUAGAUUACUGACUCUAGUAAACCCUUUGGGUGUUGGUCACAUAUCGAUGUGGAUUAUGGGUGUUAAUCACAUGGUGAUGUGAACUAUUGCUAUUAAAUCACAUGGUGAUGUGAACUAGAUUAUUGACUCUAGUGCAAGUGGGAGAUUGAAGGAAAUAUGCCCUAGAGGCAAUAAUAAAAGUUAUUAUUUCCUUAUAUCAUGAUAAAUGUUUAUUAUUCAUGCUAGAAUUGUAUUAACCGGAAACAUAAUACAUGUGUGAAUACAUAGACAAACAGAGUGUCACUAGUAUGCCUCUACUUGACUAGCUCGUUAAUCAAAGAUGGUUAUGUUUCCUAACCAUGGACAAAGAGUUGUCAUUUGAUUAACGGGAUCACAUCAUUAGUUGAACGAUCUGAUUGACAUGACCCAUUCCAUUAGCUUAACACCCGAUCGUUUAGUAUGUUGCUAUUGCUUUCUUCAUGACUUAUACAUGUUCCUAUGACUAUGAGAUUAUGCAACUCCCGUUUGCCGGAGGAACACUUUGUGUACUACCAAACGUCACAACAUAACUGGGUGAUUAUAAAGGAGCUCUACAGGUGUCUCCAAAGGUACAUGUUGGUUUGGUUUAUUUCGAGAUUAGGAUUUUUCACUCCAAUUGUCGGAGAGGUAUCUUUGGGCCCUCUCGGUAAUGCACAUCACCGAAGCCUUGCAAGCAUUGCAACUAAUGAGUUAGUUGCGAGAUGAUGUAUUACAGAACGAGUAAAGAGACUUGCCGGUAACGAGAUUGAACUAGGUGUGGGAUAUCGACGAUCGAAUCUGGGGCAAGUAACAUACCGAUGACAAAGGGAACAACGUAUGUUGUUAUGCGGUCUGACCGAUAAAAGAUCUUCGUAGAAUAUGUAGGAGCCAAUAUGAGCAUACAGGUUCCGCUAUUGGUUAUUGACCGGAGACGUGUCUCGGUCAUGUCUACAUUGUUCUCGAACCCGUAGGGUCCGCACGCUUAAGGUGACGAUGACAGUUAUAUUAUGAGUUUAUGCAUUUUGAUGUACCGAAGGUUGUUCGGAGUCCCGGAUGUGAUCACGGACAUGACGAGGAGUCUCGAAAUGGUCGAGACAUAAAGAUUGAUAUAUUGGAAGCCUAUGUUUGGAUAUCGGAAGUGUUCCGGGUGAAAUCAGGAUUUUACCGGAGUACCGGGAGGUUACCGAAACCCCCCGGGAGGUAUAUGGGCCUUAGUGGGCCUUAGUGGAAGAAGAGAAGAGGCAGCCAGGGCUGGGCCGCGGGCCCCUCCCCCCCUUGGUCCGAAUUGGACAAGGAGAGGGGGUCGGCCCCCCUUCCUCCUCUCUCUCCUCUUUCCCCCCCUCCACGAAUCCUAUUCCAACUAGGAAAGGGGGGGAGUCCUACUCCUAGAAGGAGUAGGACUCCUCCUGGCGCGCCUCUCCUGGCCGGCCGGCCCCCCUCCCUUGAACCUUUAUAUACGGAGGUAGGGGCACCCCCUAGAGACACAAGUUGAUCCACGUGAUCAUAUUCUUAGCCGUGUGCGGUGCCCCCUUCCACCAUAGUCCUCAAUAAUAUUGUAGCGGUGCUUAGGCGAAGCCCUGCGACAGUAGUACAUCAAGAUCGUCACCACGCCGUCACGCUGACGGAACUCUUCCCCGACACUUUGCUGGAUCGGAGUCCGGGGAUCGUCAUCGAGCUGAACGUGUGCUAGAACUCGGAGGUGCCGUAGUUUCGGUGCUUGACCGGUCGGGCCGUGGAGACGUACGACUACAUCAACCAAACGCUUCCAUUUCGAUCUACAAGGGUACGUAGAUCACACUCUCCCCCUCUCGUUGCUAUGCAUCACCAUGAUCUUGCGUGUGCGUAGGAAAUUUUUUGAAAUUACUACGAAACCCAACAAUAUCCAUUGAUACACUCAAAAAGAAAGAUGUCAAACUCCCAAAAGAGAGAAUGGUUCCAAACAAACCAAGCCCUCUACAAAGUUUCAUGAUGGCACAAAGCACCAAAAAGAAACGGCUUGCCUUCCACAAACACACACUUGAUAAGGAUCACAAGAUGAGUGUUUUAUAGAGAAUACGAUAGCUCCCCCAAGACUAGUGCAUUAUAGAGAAUUUGCAUUUGAAUACAAAAUGCACGAGGUGGGAUCACCGCUUUCACUAUAUCUAGAAAACACUAGACAAGGUCAAGAAAUACACAAGAUCCACAGGUGGUAUGGAAGACAAAGGGAGUUGAUACAAACCUUGGCAAGAGAAAGGGCAAAUAAAAAGAAAAAGCCAAUGUAAAGAUGAUCAAUAGAUUCUACCACAAAAGUGAGUACCAAUUGUCAAAAGACAAGAAGUAAACGGAAAAAAUUCCCGGUGGUAGAUAACAAGGAUAUCCGACAUUAUCUUCACACCAAACAAAAAGCAAAAUGCAACUUGUAGAGCUAACAUGCCACCUAGGAACAAGAUAAUUUACAAUAUCAACUCUAGGUGACAAUAUCUCAAAUGUACACAUUUUCUAGGCUAGUAAUAUACACAUAGCAUAUUACUCCCCCAUAAUGUGAUACCAAUUAAGGAAGAACAAGAGGCAAAUAAAAGGAUCCAACAAGAGAUAAUUAAUGGACUAUUUAGAAUUUGAAUUUCUCAUGAGAAGACAUACCACAUAGCGACUAGAUAAUCUUGUAAUAUCAAUACUAGAUGGUAUUCCUCAUGUACACACAUUUAUAGGAUUGUGAGGUGCACAAAGCACAUCACUCCCCCACAAUGGGAUAUUCCAUUAAUCUCUCACAAGAGCCAACUAAGAUAUGACCAAGAUGCACAAAGGCUCAACUAACGACACACAUGUACAUGAUGUGCAAACCAACACACACAUACUUGAUUGCUCAAGAUAAUCAAGUUGGAAGCACAACAUAUACAAACACAUGCAAGGAACAAAGCCAAACAUGCAAAGGGGCAAGUAAUUUUCAAUGUAAACAAUUUAAGCACGAGUUACCACAAGGAGGAAAAUUGGAUAUAAGAUAGAAACUUGAUAAUCCAAAUGACUUGGCUUGAGACAAUAAGAAUGAUGAAGUCCCCUUAAUUCUUCAUAAUGUAGCCAAGUCUCCAAUGACCUCCAACAUCACCUAUUGAUCAAGUUUGAGCUUGUUGGUCCCCAACCAAGUUGGGUCCUAAGAGGUUAGUCACAAUGGGCUUGGCUACCCAAAUGGUUCUUUGCUUCAAACCACUUUGAGUACCAACAAACUUGGCAACCACAUUGCCAACAUUAUCCUUCCCAAGAGAAUAGACAUCAUCAAUAAUAAUUGGGUUGGAUAAGUUACCACUAGUGCAUGAAGAGGCGAGGUGACCUUUCUCGCGACAUAGGUAGCAACGUCUACUCUUCACUUUCUUCUCACUUGAUUUCUCAACUUGAGAAGCAUAAGCUUGAGUCUUCUUGGGAAGAGGCUUUUCUUCAACUUGAGGUUGAGAAUGAGAGUGAACUUGUGGCCGCUUCCCUUGUUGCUUGUCACUAAUGGGCUUCUUCUUCAAUUGGCAAGAUCUAACAUGAUGCCCUUCUACUUUGCACUUGAAGCAAACAAUCUUGGCCGAAUUCUUGACUUGUUUUUGGCCCUUCUUUUUGUUCACCUUGGACUUCUUCUUCUUGUUGGAGUUGAAUCCAAGUCCAACUUUGUCAUUGGUUUUUUUUUGCACACUCAAGAUAUUGUUGAGUGUGAAUUUCCCUUCAUGACUCUUUUCCAAGUCUUUCUUCAAAGAAGUGACUUGGGCCUUGAGCUCUUUGAUUUCCUCUACAUGGUUAGUCUCAACACAAGUACUAGAGGAAGUAUAAGCUUCAACAUUAGAGCAACAAGGCAAGGAAAGCAAUUCAUCACAAGAUGUACCAAUGUUAUGCAUGGAUGAAUUGCGAGGACCAGCACAAGGCAAUAUAGCAUUUUGACCAAAAGUAGUGCUAGUAUCCACAUGAGGCUCACUAGAUGUUACCUUAGCAAGCAUGGCCUCUUGAGCUAUCUUUAGCACAUUAUGGGAUACUAGAAGAUCAUCAUGAGAGCUUGUGAGCUUUACAUGAUUUUCUUCCAACAUCCCAUAGUUGCUAGAUAGCAACUCAAGUUGAGCCCUUAGCUCAACAUUCUCCAUUAAUAUGGAUGCUUCACAAGAGAUAGAGUUAGUAGCACAAGCAUCAUCAUUAGCAACAAGAGGAGAAGACAACUUGGCAAGCUCUUCUGAAUAUGAAGCUUUAAGUUGAGCAUGAGACUCGGUGAGUUUGAUGAGCUCACUCUUAAUGACCCUUGAGCCAUUUUCGAGGUGCUCAAAGUCCUCAAGGAGUUUAGCAUGCGCAACUUCAAGCUCCUCAUUUUUAGUUUCAAAAUCAUUGGCCACCUCAAGAGCUCUAUCACGAGAUUCCCUCACUCUAGAUAAUUCUAGAGCAAAAGUCUCCUUAAGAGAUUCCUUGGUGGUUUGUUCAAGUUCAAGAGCUUGAGAGAGGUCUGCAAUCUCAUUUGCGUAAUCACGCUCAUGAGCUUCCAUUUUAUCAAUGGUGACCUCAUGCUCCUCUAGAUGAGAUUCCAACUCCUCAAUGUAUUUCUUGCCUUCAAUGGCAAUAGACAUGAUUUCCAUGAAGUUGGAACAAGCAAGUUUAUUUUUGUGAAGAGCUUUAAAAAUCAUUUCCCCCUUAGUUUUUAAGGAGGCAACAUUAUCAUUCUCUUCAUCAUAAUCAACAUCAUCAUCACUCUUGCCAUCAUCAUAAGAUAUAUUGGGAUUCAAAGUGGGAGAUACCUUUGAAGCCUUGGCCAUAAGGCAAAAUGCAAUAGAUGAUGAUGUAGGAUCCGUUGAAGCACCAUUCAAGACCACAUCUUGUUCCAUGGGGUGUUGGGUUUCCUCUACAUUGUUAGCACAACAAUUCGAGGACAUAUAUGCAUUUUUAUCAUGGCAACAAGACAUAGUAAACAUAUCAUCAUGAGAUUUAGUCAAGAAAUUUCUACAUGAUAUGCAAGGACUAUCAACACAAGCAUGUGAAACAUUUGGAGUGCUCGAAGUGUUAAGGCCCAAAGAAGGAGCAUUGCAAUAAGAUAGUGAUGAAGGAUCAUCCACAAUAAACAUACUAUCAUCAUUGCAAUGACCAACACUACUCACCAUAUCAUUACCUUGGGGCAAACCACAUGUAGGUGAAGUAGAAGAAGUUGAGAAGACUAUACGACCAGAGGUGGAGAGAGAACAAUCAUCCCCACAAAUCUUGGACACUCCAUAUUUAUCUUGAAGCUUCGUCCACAACUCAUGAGCAUCCCGGAACGACAUGAGUUGAAAUAUAACUACAUUGCUCAAAGCAUUGAAAAGCACAUUAGAAGCUUGAGCAUUGAGAUAAGAGUUUUUCUCAUCCUCUAAAGAUAAUCUUUGGGGAUCCUUUGGAGGAGAAAAACCCAUAUCUACAAUUCGCUCUAAAUUUGGGUCCAUGACCCUAAAGAGAUUAAGCAUGCGAAUUACCCAAACAUCAAAAUUUGUGCCAUCGAAACUAAGAGUGUCAGAGAAUCCUAAUCCCCUAGUCGACAUCUUUACUCUCUAGGCGGUUAAGCCUAACAAAGAGAGACGAGGCUCUGAUAACAAUUGAAAGAUCAUGGAUGUCGCCUAGAGGGGGGGGGGUGAAUAGGCGUUUUAAAAUAAUUACGGUUUAGGCUUGAACAAAUGCGGAAUAAACCUAGCGGUUAAUUUGCCAAGCACAAAACCUAAAACAACUAGGCUCACCUAUGUGCACCAACAACUUAUGCUAAGCAAGAUAAGCAACUAUGUGAUAGCAAGAUAUAUGACAAGAAACAAUAUGGCUAUCACAAAGUAAAGUGCAUAAGUAAAGGGGCUCGGGUAAGAGAUAACCGAGGCACGCGGAGACGACGAUGUAUCCCGAAGUUCACACCCUUGCGGAUGCUAAUCUCCGUUUGGAGCAGUGUGGAGGCACAAUGCUCCCCAAGAAGCCACUAGAGCCACCGUAAUCUCCUCACGCUCUCGCACAAUGCAAGAUGCCGUGAUUCCACUAAGGGACCCUUGAGGGCGGUCACCGAACCCGUACAAAUGGCAACCCUUGGGGGCGGUCACCGAACCCGUACACUUUGGCAACCCUUGGGGGCGGUCACCGGAACCCGUCAAAUUGCUCGGGGCAAUCUCCACAACCUAAUUGGAGACCCUGACGCUUUCCCGGAGCUUUAGACCACAAUGAUUGAGCUCUGAACACCACCAACCAUCUAGGGCACCCAAGCACCCAAGAGGAACAAGCUCAAGGGUACCAAGCACCCAAGAGUAAUAAGCUUCUCAACUUGUAACUUCCACGUAUCACCAUGGAGAACUCAAACCAAUGCACCAAAUGCAAUGGCAAGGGCACACAGAGUGCCCAAGUCCUUCUCUCUCAAAUCCCAUCGAAGCAACUAAUGCUAGUGAGGAAAAUGAGAGGAAGAACAAGAAAGAGAACACAAAGAACUCCAAGAUCUAGAUCCAAGGGGUUCCCCUCACAUAGAGGAGAAAGUGAUUGGUGGAAAUGUGGAUCUAGAUCUCCUCUCUCUUUUCCCUCAAAAACUAGCAAGAAUCCAUGGAGGGAUUGAGAGUUAGCAAGCUCAAAGAAGGUCAACAAUGGGGGAAGAACACGAGCUCCAAGGAUAAGGUUCAUUGGGGAAGAAGACCCCCUCUAUAGGAGGGGGAAAAUCCAACCGUUAUGUGCUCAGCCCGCACACGAGCGGUACUACCACUUAGGUGGAAGAAACAGGGAAAAGGAGCAACAAAACAUGAACCUUAGGGCGGUAGUACCGCAGGAGACAGCGGUACUACCGCUGGGUUAAGCGGUACUACCGCUCCCUUCGGCGGUACUGCCGCGCAGAACGAAGGGUAAAGGGAAAGAGGGAACCGGGCGGUACUACCGCGGAGGAAGGGCGGUACUGCCGCUAAGGAGCGGUACUGCCGCACUACUGCCGCAGCGAGGUACCGCACAAUCCAACACAGAAAAAGACCCCUCGAAACGACGCGGUAGGGACCUGGUAAGCCAACGGUAGUACUGCUGCGGAGUCACCGCCGGUACUAUCGCUUCGGAGCGGUACUGCCGCUUGUGACCCCUUAGCGGUACUACCGCUGGAUACCACGGUACUACCGCUGGGACCCUGACAAAACCACACUCAAGAAAAGAAGAACUGCCAUAACUUCUGCAUAUGAGCUCCGAAUUGAGCAAACUCAAGCUUGUUGGAAACAAGACGACGAGUAGCAUCAAAACAGCGGCUGGUUAUAGUAAGAAGAGGCAGGGGAGGUAUGCAUAACAAAAAGAGGAGUGAAACCUCCAACCGAGAAGAAUCGGCAAAACCUCCAACAUCGAAAACAUCAUAGAAGAGGCAUGCGAACUCCGUUUUCGAUGAACUCAAGCUUGUCAUCAAGAUGACCAUAAGCUCUAAGAUUCACAAAGAGAACCAAACAAGAACCAAGAAAUAUGAUGCAAGGAUGCAAUGGUUUGAGCUCUCUACGAACGAUACGAUCAAGCUACUCAUCGAGAGCCCCCCUUGAUAGUACGACAAUCGAUCCUAUAACCCGGUCUCCCAACUACCAUCAUGAGACCGGUAAAAUAGAAAACCUACCAAGGGCAAACCUUUGCCUUGAACAUGGUCCAUUUGAGCUAGAUGAUGACGAUCUUGACUCCCUCAAGUUGGACCACCUUUCUUGAUUGGGUUGACUCGAUGAAGACUAGUUGAUUGCUCCCCCAUACUCCACUAUGGGUGAGCCACUCUUCCGCACAUCUUCACAAGUCCAUUGUCACCACAAAGGAUGGCAAGCUUCAAGCAUUUGAUCUCUUCGUGAUGCUCCACUUGAACUUGCACACCGCAACCUUUCUUGAUUGUGUUGACUCAAUGAAGACUAGUUGAUUGCUCCCCCAUACUCCAGUAUGGGUGAGCCACUCUUCCGCACAUCUUCACAAGUCCAUUGUCACCACAAAGGAUGGCAAGCUUCAAGCAUUUGAUCUCUUCGUGAUGCUUCACUUGAACUUGCACACCGCAACCUAACCCCACAAAGAACCCUCACGAAGACCAUGGGUCAGUACACAAAGCGUAAUUGGCAAUGCUUACCAUACCAUGGGAUCACUUGAUCCCUCUCAAUACAUCUUCUACGCUUUGUGGGUUGAUCAGCUUGAUUCACUCUUUGACUUAGUCUUGAUCAACCUCUCACAAGACCAAUCUUUAGGUAAUUCCUUGAAUAGCACCUUGGUCGACACAAACUCUCCUUGAACCCAACACAUGUACUCCAAGAAAAGUCUAUGGACAAAACCUUCAAAUAUAACUCAAGGCAACCAUUAGUCCAUAGAGAUUGUCAUCAAUUACCAAAACCAAACACGGGGGCACCGCAUGUUCUUUCACCGCUGAGGCGCCUCUGGAGGUCGUGGAAGACUGCCGAACGCGCCUUCAGCCACCUCCUCCUGAAGCAGUGCAAGCGCGCAGGCGGUAUCCAGGUCCGGUGGCCUCUGAACGAGCACCACUGCCUGAAUAUCCUUCCUCAGCCCCUCGACAAAACAAGUCAAGAAGUAGAAAGGAUGAAUCGUGUCAGAAUAUGAUGAUAAAUGGUUUAUGAUCAAUUCGAAUUGCUCUAUGUAAUGUGCUACAGAAGAAGUUUGGCGGACAAUAUAGAACUGCCUGAUCAGCGUCUGAUGCCGAUCGCGACCAAACCGGGUAUAGAGUAAGGCAGUAAAAGCAUCCAAUCAAAAUCUGCAAGUCUUUUUUGUAUGGAUUGAAGCCAGAUGGCGGCCGACCCCGAGAAAUUCAGGGCCGCCAUGGGUACCCAAGGUAAGAUGCCAAACAUUUGGAAGUACUACUCGCACAUAGUUUUCCACAAAUUCGGGUUGUCGCCCGAGAACUGCGGAAAUGCAAUGGAUGGGUGGGAUUGACCCAGUCCAGACAGGAGUUGACUAGCAUGAGCAAACGGCGAGAGCGCGGGCGGAGACGCUGAUAGAGAGGAGGACGGACCUGUUGCCGGGGGUGGCGGCGGUGUCUGUAAGAACACCGCGGCGUUCCCCCGUGGCAAAUUGAAGACGCCGUGGCCACUGGGCCCUGGGAUGUCGCUGCCCGCGCCGCCACCAGCCCCCGUGAGGACGCUGGUCGUCGCAGAAGGGCCUGACUUCGGAAGCGUCGCGUGAGGGUCCUCGUCCCUCGUAGAGGACGGCAGUUGCGCCAUCUAGAGCGCCGCCACCGCAUCGCCGAGAUCAGCGACCCGCUUCUCCAGAUCCGGACGCCAAUUGACCAAGUCAUCGAUCUUGGCCGUGGAAGCCUGGAUCUCCGCGAUUGCCUUGUUCUGGGCCUUGAGGGUGUUGUCGAGCCGCUCGAGGAAGGCCUCGAUUGCAGGAUCCAUGGCGACAAGGUGUGUGCGAGCUUGGCGUAGACCUCUAGUCUCGAUGAGCUGCACCAGGAUGCAGCGGAGGGGAAUUACUGGUCUCUGAUACCAGAUGUUAAGGUACUGGUAGAUACUCUCUCGAUUACUAGUAGCAAUCACUUGCGGAUACAAGUUUGGUGGCGAUUACAGGAACGAUACAAGAAUUUCCUUGCUAGGGUUCGACGCGAGACAGGAAGAGGAAAGGGGAAAAGAGCCGAGCCGCCGUUGCCGUGAUCCUUUGGAUAACCCUAGGACGCUGCCGCUCCUCUCCUCAAGUAGCUUCCAGGACGGACUUCAGUUAACCCACGCUGGGCCGGAGACGCGUGGGUUGGGCUUCCUGGGCCGGGCCACACGUGGAGCCGUGGAGACCAGAUCGUUGGUGUUGCCUUGUGGGCCGGCCCUGUCAGGGACGCUGACAAGUUGUGAGGAUGGUCGACAAGCCGUCGGUUCGGUGGUCUCAUUCCACCCGGUACAUCCGACCAUACUAGGUGGUGUACUGUCGACAUUGUGGGAGCCAUAGAACACAUGGCAGCAGGCCAGUACUAGCUCCAUGUCGGUACAUCCCAGUUUGCAGCCGUUUUCUUCUUCCAUCCGAGAAAUAGUUUUGCGGUUGGUUCUUUUCGUCCCUUCAAUCAUCCGGGUGCCGAACAGAGACGCGCCAAUCCGACGGGAACGGGCUGUGGAUUCUGGAGCGCGGGGCACACAGGGUUUUGGAAUUACAGCGGGCGGUGCCCGUGACGUACGUGCAUGUGAGGUGGUGUGGCGCCCUCCUUUCCUGUCUCCUUGCGGCUCAUGCGGGGGUGGCUGGGAAACGCGCACCCAGAUGCUUGUGACUUCGGCUGGAGUGCCCGCCGCCACUGAUGCUUCUGAUUUUUUUUGAAUCUUGAGAGCCCCGAGCAAUUGAUGGAUCCAAGUUGGCUCUAGUCAACCGAUGUAGCAACUAGCAAGAUCCGAUUAUGUAGGCGAUAAGGCGAAAUACUAGUGGAUGGAAUUAUAAGAUUAAGAUGUGAGUAUUUCCAGAAGAUGGUCAAAGGAUCUCUUUAGACUGGUCACAGGGAGGAGUAACUUAAACUAGUGUCAUGCAUAUAUAUUAUGACAGUAGUCUAAGUUACUAUCUUCAUAGUGCAAAAUAACAUAGUAGCAGUGUCAUAGAUGACUUCAUUUAUUAGCUUAUAGAUUCAUCUUGUCUUGGGAAACGUUAUGUUACAGUAAGGCUGCUGCCAAUGCAUGGAUGCUUAUAUGAGGUGCUAAGCACAUUAAAUAACUUAGAGCAUCUUCAGCCGUUGGCCUCCCAGGGGGCGCCUAAAAUCGCCGCCUGGGGUGAGCCGGCGCAAAAAAUCGGCCUGGGGACGAGUUGGUCCCCAGCCGCCCGCCCCAGGCGCGUUCAAAAAAGGCAAAAAUAUAGCAAAGUUCGGCAAAGUUCGGUGAAGUUCGACAUAUAUUACAUAAUAGUCGCGGAUUUUUAUUACAUAAUAUGUCUAAAUUAAAAAACUGGCUGAACGCGGAGUAGUCGCUGUUGUCGCCGCCAUCAUCGCCGCCGGGCUUCUCCUUCUUGACGCGGUCAUCCCUGGUGGACCCCUGACCGGCGUCGCCAACUCGGACUGGUGGCGGCGGCGCGUCGUCGUCGUCGUCGCUAUCCUCGAUGACGAUGACGCCUCCUUCGUCGCGGCCCCCGUGGCGCUGCGCGAAUCGCUGCAGGGUGGCGCAUGAAGGAAAUAUGAUCUAGAGGCAAUAAUAAAGUUAUUAUUUAUUUCCUUAUAUCAUGAAAAUGUUUAUUAUUCAUACUAGAAUUGUAUUAACCGGAAACAUAAUACAUGUGUCAAUACAUAGACAAACAGAGUGUCACUAGUAUGCCUCUACUUGACUAGCUCGUUGAUCAAAGAUGGUUAUGUUUCCUAACCAUAGACAUGAGUUGUCAUUUGAUUAACGGGAUCACAUCAUUAGGAGAAUGAUGUGAUUGACUUGACCCAUUUCGUUAGCUUAGCACUUGAUCGUUUAGUUUGUUGCUAUUGCUUUCUUCAUGACUUAUACAUGUUCCUAUGACUAUGAGAUUAUGCAACUCCCGUUUAUCGGAGGAACACUUUGUGUGUCACCAAACGUCACAACAUAACUGGGUGCUUAUAAAGGUGCUCUACAGGUGUCUCCGAAGGUACUUGUUGGGUUGGCGUAUUUCGAGAUUAGGUUUUGUCACUCUGAUUGUCGGAGAGGUAUCUCUGGGCCCACUCGCUAAUGCACAUCACUAUAAGCCUUGCAAGCAUUGCAGCUAAUGAGUUAGUUGCGGGAUGAUGUAUUAUGGAACGAGUAAAGAGACUUGCCGGUAACGAGAUUGAACUAGGUAUUGAGAUACCGACGAUCGAAUCUCGUGCAAGUAACAUACCGAUGACAAAGGGAACAACGUAUGUUGUUAUGCGGUUUGACCGAUAAAGAUCUUCGUAGAAUAUGUAGGAGCCAAUAUGAGCAUACAGGUUCCGCUAUUGGUUAUUGACCGGAGAUGUGUCUCGGUCAUGUCUACAUAGUUCUCGAACCCGUAGGGUCCGCACGCUUAAAGUUCGAUGACGGUUAUAUUAUGAGUUUAUGUGUUUUGAUGUACCAAAGGUAGUUCGGAGUCCCGGAUAAGAUCGGGGACAUGACGAGGAGUCUCGAAAUGGUAGAGACGUAAAGAUCGAUAUGUUGGACGACUAUAUUCGGACACCGGAAAGGUUCCGAGUGAUUCGGGUAUUUAUCGGAGUACCGGGGAGUUACGGGAAUUCACCGGGGAGUGUAUGGGCCUUAUUGGGCUUUAGGGGAAAGAGAGAGAGGCAGGCCGCGCGCCCCCCAAGGCCUAGUCCGAAUUGGACUAGGGGGAAGGGCUGCGCCCCUUUCUUCCUUCUCUUCUCUUUUCCCUUUCCUUCUCUCCUACUCCUACUACUUGGAAGGGCUCCUAGUUCUACUAGGAAAGGAGGAAUCCUACUCCCGGUGGGAGUAGGACUCCUCUAGGGAGCACCAUAGAGAGGGCCGGCCCCACCCCUCCUCCACUCUUUUAUAUACGUGACCAGGGGGCACCCCAUAGAGACAACAAUUGAUCUCUUGAUCUCUUAGCCGUGUGCGGUGCCCCCUUCCACCAUAAUCCACCUCGAUCAUAUCAUAGCGGUGCUUAGGCGAAGCCCUGCGUCGGUAGAACAUCAUCAUCGUCACCACGCCGUCAUGCUGACAAAACUCUCCCUCAACACUUGGCUGGAUUGGAGUUCGAGGAACGUCAUAGAGUUGAACGUGUGCAGAACUCGGAGGUGCCGUGCGUUCGGUACUUGAUCGGUCGGAUCGUGAAGACGUACGACUACAUUAACCGUGUUGUGCUAACGCUUCCGCUUUCGGUCUACGAGGGUACGUGGACACACUCUCCCCUCUCGUUGCUAUGCAUCACCAUGAUCUUGCGUGUGCAUAGAAAUUUCUUGAAAUUACUACGUUCCACAACAGUGGCAUCCGAGCCUGGUUUUAUGCCUUGAUGUAAUAUGCACGAGUAGAACACAAGUGAGUUGUGGGCGAUAUAAGUCAUACUGCUUACCAGCAUGUCACACUUUGGUUCGGCGGUAUUGUUGGAUGAAGCGGCCCAGACCGACAUUACGCUUACGCUUACGCGAGACUGGUUUUACUGCCGUGCUAUGCACACAGGUGACUAGCGGGUGUCAGUUUCUCCAACUUUAGUUGAACCGAGUGUGGCUAUGCCCGGUCCUUGAGAAGGUUAAAACAACACUAACUUGACAAACUAUCAUUGUGGUUUUGAUGCUUAGGUAAGAACGGUUCUUGCUCAGCGCGUAGCAGCCACGUAAAACUUGCAACAACAAAGUAGAGGACGUCUAACUUGUUUUUGCAGGGCAUGUUGUGAUGUGAUAUGGUCAAGACAUGAUGAGAUAUAAAGUUGUUGUAUAAGAUGAUCAUGUUUUGUUGAAGUUAUCGACAACUGGCAGAAGUCUUAUGGUUGUCUCUUUAUUGCAUAAGAUGCAAGCACCAAAUAAUUGUUUUACUUUAUCGCUAUGCGAUAGCAAUAGUUGCAAGAACAAUAGUUGGCGAGACGACCAUGUGACGACACAUUGAUAUAGAUCAAGAUGAUGGAGAUCAUGGUGUCAUGCCGGUGAUGAUGGAAAUCAUGACGAUGCUUUGGAGAUGGAGAUCAAAGGCACAAGAUGAUGAUGGCCAUAUCAUGUCACAUAUUUUGAUUGCAUGUGAUCUUUAUCUUUUAUGCAUCUUAUUUUGCUUAGUUCGACGGUAGCUUUAUAAGAUGAUCUCUCACUAAUUAUCAAGGUACAAGUGUUCUCCCUGAGUAUGGACCGUUGCGAAAGUUCUUCAUGCUGAGACACCACGUGUUGAUCGGGUGUGAUAGGCUCUACGUUCAAAUACAACGGGUGCAAAACAGUUGCACAUGCGGAAUACUCAGGUUAAACUUGACGAGCCUAGCAUAUAACAGAUAUGGUCUCGGAACACUGAGACCGAAAGGUCGAGCGUGAAUCAUAUAGUAGAUAUGAUCAACAUAGUGAUGUUCACCAUUGAAACUACUCCGUCUCACGUGAUGAUCGGACAUGGUUUAGUUGAUAUGGAUCACGUGAUCACUUAGAGGAUUAGAGGGAUGUCUAUCUAAGUGGAAGUUCUUAAGUAAUAUGAUUAAUUGAACUUAAAUUUAUCAUGAACUUAGUCCUGGUAGUAUUAGCAUAUCUAUGUUGUAGAUCAAUAGCUCGCGUUUAGCUCCCCUGUUUUAUUUUUGAUAUGUUCCUAGAGAAAACUAAGUUGAAAGAUGUUAGUAGCAAUGAUGCGGAUUGGAUCCGUGAUCUGAGGUUUAUCCUCAUUGCUGCACAGAAGAAUUAUGUUCUUGAUGCACCGCUAGGUGACAAACCUAUUGUAGGAGCAGAUGCAGAUGUUAUGAACGUUUGGCUAGCUCAAUAUGAUGACUACUUGAUAGUUUAGUGCACCAUACUUAAACGGCUUAGAAUCGGGACUUCAAAGACGUUUUGAACGUCAUGGACCAUAUGAGAUGUUCCAGGAGUUGAAGUUAAUAUUUCAAGCAAAUACCCGAGUUGAGAGAUAUGAAGUCUCCAACAAGCUCUAUAGCUAAAAGAUGGAGGAGAAUAGCUCAAGCAGUGAGCAUGUGCUCAGAUUGUCUGGGUACUACAAUCGCUUGAAUCAAGUGGGAGUUAAUCUUCCAGAUAAAAUAGUGAUUCACAGAAUUCUCUAGUCAGCAUCACCAAGUUAGUAGAACUUUGUGAUGAACUAUAAUAUGUAAGGGAUAACGGAAACGAUUCCCAAGCUCUUCGUGAUGCUGAAAUCGGCGAAGGUAGAAAUCAAGAAAAGCAUCAAGUAUUGAUGGUAAACAAAACCACUAAUUUCAAGUAAAGGGACAAAGGGAAGAAAGGGGAACUUCAAGAAGAACGGCAAGCAACUUGCUGCUCAAGUGAAAAAAACCCAAGUCUGGACUUAGUCUGAAACUGAGUGCUUCUACUGCAAAGGGACUGGUCACUGGAAGCGGAACUACCCCAAGUAAUUGGAGGAUAAGAAGGAUGGAAAAGUGAACAUAGGUAUAUUUGAUAUACAUGUUAUUGAUGUGUACUUUACUAGUGUUUAUAGCAACCCCUCAGUAUUUGAUACUAGUUCAGUUGCUAAGAAUAGUAACUCGAAACAGGAGUUGCAUAAUGAACAGAGACUAGUUAAAGGUGAAGUGACGAUGUGUAUUGGAAAUGGUUCCAAGAUUGAUAUGAUCAUCAUCGCACACUCCCUAUACUUUCGGAAUUAGUGUUAAACCUAAAAUAAAUGUUAUUUAGUGUUUGCGUUGAGCAUGAAUAUGAUUGGAUCAUGUUUAUUGCAAUACGGUUAUUCAUGUAAGUUAGAGAAUAAUUGUUGUUUUGUUUACAUGAAUAAAACCUUCUAUGGUCAUACACCCAAUGAAAAUGGUUUGUUGGAUCUCGAUCGUGUUGAUACACAUUUUCAUAAUAUCGAAACCAAAAGAUGCAAAGUUAAUAAUGAUAGUGCAACUUAUUUGUGGCACUGCCGUUUAGGUUAUAUUGGUGUAAAGCGCAUAAAGAAAAUCCAUGCUAAUGGGCUUUUGGAAUCACUUGAUUAUGAAUCAGUUGAUGCUUGCGAACCAUGCCUCAUGGGCAAGAUGACUAAGACUCCGUUCUCCGGAACAAUGGAGCGAGCAACAGAUUUUUUGGAAAUCAUACAUACUGAUGUAUGUGGUCCGAUGAAUAUUGAGGCUCGCGGCAGGUAUCCUUAUUUUCCGAUCUUCAUAGAUGAUUUGAGCAGAUAUGAGUAUAUCUACUUGAUGAAACACAAGUCUGAAACAUUUGAAAAGUUCAAAGAAUUUCAGAGUGAAGUGGAGAAUCAUCGUAACAAAAAAUAAAAGUUUCUAUGUUAUAAUCGCAGAAGUAAAAUAUUUGAGUUACGAGUUUGGCCUUCAGUUAAAACAAUGUGAAAUAGUUUCACUACUCACGCCACCUGAAACACCACAGUGUAAUGGUGUGUCCGAACGCCGUAACCGUACUUUAUUAGAUAUGGUGCGAUCUAUGAUGUCUCUUACCAAUUUACCACUAUCGUUUUGGGGUUAUGCAUUAGAGACAACUACAUUCAUGUUAAAUAGGGAACCAUCUAAAUACGUUGAGACGACACCAUAUGAACUAUGGUUUGGCAAGAAACCUAAGCUGUCGUUUCUUAAAGUUUGAGGUUGCAAUGCUUAUGUGAAAAAGUUUCAACCUGAUAAGCUCAAACCCAAAUCGGAGAAGUGCGUCUUUAUAGGAUACCCAAAAGAAAAUAUUGGGUACACCUUCUAUCACAGAUCCGAAGGCAAGUUAUUCAUUGCUGAGAAUGGAUCCUUUCUAGAGAAGGAGUUUCUCUCAAAAGAAGUGAAUGGGAGGAAAAUAGAACUUGAUGAGGUAACUAUACCUGCUCCCUUAUUGGAAAGUAGUUCAUCACAGAAAUAUGUUCCUGUGACUACUACACCAAUUAGUGAGGAAGCUAAUGAUGAUGAUCAUGUAACUUCAGAUCAAGUUACUACCGAACCUUGUAGGUAAAUCAGAGUGAGAUCCGCACCAGAGUAGUACGGUAAUCCUGUUCUGGAGGUCAUGUUACUUGACCAUGACAAACCUACGAACUAUGAGGAAGCAAUGAUGAGCCUAGAUUCGGCGAAAUGGCUUGAGGCCAUGAAAUCCGAAAUGAGAUCCAUGUAUAAGAACAAAGUAUGGACUUUGAUUGACUUGUCCAAAGAUCGGCGAGCCAUUGAGAUUAAAUGGAUCUUCAAGAGGAAGACGAACGCUGAUAGUAGUGUUACUAUCUACAAAGCUAUAAUUGUCGCAAAAGGUUUUCGACAAGUUCAAGGUGUUGACUACGAUGAGAGUUUCUCACUCGUAUCUAUGCUUAAGUCUGUCUGAAUCAUGUUAGCAAUUGCCACAUUUUAUGAAAUCUGGCAAAUGGAUAAACAAAACUACAUUCCUUAAUGGAUUUAUUAAAGAAGAGUUGUAUAUGAUGCAACAAGAAAGUUUUGUCAAUCCUAAAGGUGCUAACAAAAUAUGCAAGCUCCAGCGAUCCAUCUAUGGACCGGUGCAAGCAUCUCGGAGUUGGAAUAUACGCUUUGAUAAGUUGAUCAAAGCAUAGAGUUUUAUACAGACUUGCGGUGAAGCCUGUAUUUACAAGAAAAUGAGUGGGAGCACUACAACAUUUCUGGUAAGUAUAUGUGAAUGACAUAUUGUUGAUCGGAGAUAAUGUAGAAUUAUUCUGCAAAGCAUAAAGGAGUGUUUGAAAGGAGUUUUUCAAAGAAAUACCUCGGUGAAGUUGCUUACAUAUUGAGCAUCAAGAUCUAUAGAGAUAGAUCAAGAUGCUUGAUAAGUUUUUUCAAUGAAUACAUACCUUGAUAAGAUUUUGAAGUAGUUCAAAAUGGAACAGUCAAAGAAAGAGUUCUUGCCUGUGUUACAAGGUGUGAAACUGAGUAAGACUCAAAGCCCGACCACGGCAGAUGAUAGAAAGAGAAUUGAAGUCAUUCUCUAUGCCUUGGCCAUAGGUUCUAUAAAAUAUGCCAUGCUAUGUACCAGAUCUAUUGUAUACCCUACACUGUUUUUGGCAAGGGGUACAAUAGUGAUCUAGGAGUAGAUCACUGGACAGCGGUCAAAAUUAUCCUUAGUGGAAUAAGGAUAUGUUUCUCGAUUAUGGAGAUGACAAAAAGGUUCGUCGUAAAGGGUUACGUCGAUGCAAAUUUUGACACUGAUCCAGAUGACUCUAAAUCUCAAUCUGGAUACAUAUUGAAAGUGGGAGCAAUUAGCUAGAGUAGCUCCGUGCAGAGCAUUGUUGACAUAGAAAUUUGCAAAAUACUUACGGAUCUGAAUGUGGCAGACCCGUUGACUAAACUUCUCUCACAAGCAAAACAUGAUCACACCUUAGUACUCUUUGGGUGUUAAUCACAUAGCGAUGUGAACUAGAUUAAUGACUCUAGUAAACCCUUUGGGUGUUGGUCACAUGUCGAUGUGAACUAUGGGUGUUAAUCACAUGGUGAUGUGAACUAUUGGUAUUAAAUCACAUGGCGAUGUGAAUUAGAUUAUUGACUCUAGUGCAAGUGGGAGACUGAAGGAAAUAUGCCCUAGAGGCAAUAAUAAAGUUAUUAUUUAUUUCCUUAUAUCAUGAUAAAUGUUUAUUAUUCAUGCUAGAAUUGUAUUAACCGGAAACAUAAUACAUGUGUCAAUACAUAGACAAACAGAGUGUCACUAGUAUGCCUCUACUUGACUAGCUCGUUGAUCAAAGAUGGUUAUGUUUCCUAACCAUAGACAUGAGUUGUCAUUUGAUUAACAGGAUCACAUCAUUAGGAGAAUGAUGUGAUUGACUUGACCCAUUUCGUUAGCUUAGCACUUGAUCAUUUAGUUUGUUGCUAUUGCUUUCUUCAUGACUUAUACAUGUUUCUAUGACUAUGAGAUUAUGCAACUUCCGUUUACCGGAGGAACACUUUGUGUGCCACCAAACAUCACAACGUAACUGGGUGAUUAUAAAGGUGCUCUACAGGUGUCUCCGAAGGUACUUCUUAGGUUGGGGUAUUUCGAGAUUAGGAUUUGUCACUCCGAUUGUCGGAGAGGUAUCUCUGGGCCCACUCGGUAAUGCACAUCACUAUAAGCCUUGCAAGCAUUGCAACUAAUGAGUUAGUUGCGGGAUGAUGUAUUAUGGAACGAGUAAAGAGACUUGCCAGUAACGAGAUUAAACCAGGUAUUGAGAUACCGACGAUCGAAUCUCGGGCAAGUAACAUACCGAUGACAAAGGGAACAACAUAUGUUGUUAUGCGGUUUGACUGAUAAAGAUCUUCGUACAAUUUGUAGGAGCCAAUAUGAGCAUUCAAGUUCCGCUAUUGGUUAUUGACCGGAGACGUGUCUCGGUUAUGUCUACAUAGUUCUCGAACCCGUAGGGUCCGCACGCUUAAAGUUCAAUGACGGUUAUAUUAUGAGUUUAUGUGUUUUGAUGUACCGAAGGUAGUUUGGUGUCCCGGAUGAGAUCGGGGACAUGACGAGGAGUCUGGAAAUGGUCGAGACAUAAAGAUCGAUAUAUUGGACGACUAUAUUCGGACACCGGAAAGGUUCCGAGUUAUUCGGGUAUUUAUCGGAGUACCGGGGAGUUACGGGAAUUCGCCGGUGAGUGUAUGGGCCUUAUUGGGCUUUAGGGGAAAGAGAGAGAGGCAGGCUGCGCGCCCCCCAAGGCCUAGUCUGAAUUGGACUAGGGGGAGGGUUGCGCCCCCUCCUUCCUUCUCUUAUCUUUUCCCUUUCCUUCUCUCCUACUCCUACUACUUGGAAGGGCUACUAGUUCUACUAGGAAAGGGGGAAUCCUACUCCUGGUGGGAGUAGGACUCCCCUAGGGCGCACCAUAGAAAGGGCCGGCCCCUUCCCUCCUCCACUCCUUUAUAUACGUGACCAGGGGCACCCCAUAGAGACAACAAUUGAUCUCUUGAUCUCUUAGCCGUGUGCGGUGCCCCCCUCCAUCAUAAUCCACCUCAAUCAUAUCGUAGUGGUGCUUAGGCGAAGCCCUGCAUCGGUAGAACAUCAUCAUCGUCACCACGCCGUCGUGCUGACGAAACUCUCCCUCAACACUCGGCUGGAUCGGAGUUCGAGGGAUGUCAUCGAGUUGAACGUGUGCAGAACUCGGAGGUGUCGUGCGUUCGGUACUUGAUCGGUCGGAUCGUGAAGACGUACGACUACAUCAACUGCGUUUUGCUAACGCUUCCGCUUUCAGUCUACGAGGGUACAUGGACACACUCUCCCCUCUCGUUGCUAUGCAUCACCAUGAUCUUGCGUGUGCGUAGGUAAAUUUUGAAAUUACUACGUUCCCUAACAGUGCACUGGCGCUCCCUCGCCAUCUUCAGGGAGUCCGCGCGCGCCCAUUCCAGGGCCGCGUCAUCGUCGAGCUCGACGUCGCCGCCGUGCUCCGUCUUCACCGCGGGGAGGAGGCCCGGCUCCGUCGUCACCGCCGCGAGCCCCGGCUCCAUCUUGGGCUUGACGAAGCGCGGAGGAGGAGCUGAUGAGGAGGCGCGCCAGCCGCCCUCAUUGAUGACGAUGGCGACGCUGCGAGUGCGCCCCCGAGCGGCGUCUCUGUCGCGGGCUCGGCCUUGACGCCGAGCAGCACCAGAGAGCCGGAGGAGUGCGAAGAAGAGUGUGAUGAGGAGGAAGAAGAGGAGGCGUCGAACCUCCUGGGCAACCAUUACCCGUCGCGUCGGCGGUGAGCCGUGGCUGUGGCGGCCGCCCUCGCCGAGGGGUACGCCAACGGCGGGUGGUUGCCACCCUCGAGGUGCGUCAGCACGCCCUCGAGUGUGCGACCGGGGACGCCCCACCAUAGACGGCGCCCCUUGUUGUUCUUCAUGCUGCCGACCACCGGCGCGCCGUUGGUGGACGCCAGCCGCUGCUGCUGACGGCGUUGGAAGUACACCGCCCAAGCCGCGUGGUUGUCGGCGGCGUACUGGGGGAGGGAGAGCUGGGCGUCGGUAAGGGAGGCGCGCACGACCUCGACCUCGUCGGCGAAAUACGAGGGUUUAGCCAUGGCGUCUGGCAACGGGGGAAUGGGCACUCCCCCGUUGCUGAGCUUCCAGCCCGUCGGCCCGGCGCGCAUGUCCGGCGGCGCCGGGAUGUUCGCCUAGAACAAGAGCCAAGACUCUUGUUCGCGGAGCGAGCGGAGGCCGAAGCCGUUGGCCGCCGCCUCAUCUCCGGGGAAACGCUCAGCCAUCGAGAGAGGGAGGGAGAGCGAGGGCUCGACGGCGGCGCUCGGGAGAGGGGGGGCUCGGCAGCGACUCUCGGGAGAGGCAGAGCUCGACGGCUAGGACUAGGGCUGGUGUGGCCAGAGGCGAGGGAGGCCGUCGGCUUUAUAUUGCCGCGCCGCGCCCGUGUGUACGCGUGCGAGGGAGGGGAGGCGUCGGCGCGCCGUCCCGUGACACGCCGCCCGUGAGGAAUCAAUGGUAAGGCUGACCGGCGGCAGCCUUGCCAUUGAUUCCCGCGGGAAACCGAGGCGUGGGGGGAAGACGACGCGCGGUGUCGCUGACGCGGCGGGCUCGCGGCUCUUUCACGCCAAAACCGCUCGCCCCGGCGUCCCCGAGCCCCCCCCCCCAGCGCGCCGGGUUCGGCCUGGGUCCACCGACGCUAAUUUUGGCCCAGGCCGGCGAAAAUCGGGCUCCUGGGGCGCGACUGGGCUGAUUUUUCUGCGCCGACGCGAAAAAAUCGCCUGGGGAGGCCUUUCUGAGGGCGCGACUGGAGAUGCUCUUAGCAACUAUACUCCCCAAUGCAUAGGUGCUUAGCUUAUGGUUGCUAGGCUUACUUCAUUUAAUGAUUUAGCAAUUAAAGCUCUUGAUGUAUUGGUGGGCUUCCUUUCUUUAAAUGUUUUGCUUAGGUUCACGCGCUUAGCAUUGUUUCUUUCUGAGUCACCACACUCAUCUAUCUCCUCUUAAAUAACUUGCCACAUCAGAUUUUUUGCCUACAUGAAAGGCUUAGCACCUGUACAAGGUGGAAUAUUGGGAGGGGCCUAACAUACCAUGUUACCACCUCUCAUUAACUACUUGCCACAUAAGCAAAAUUUUCUUGAAGUACGCUAUGUUAUUAGCUAAGUUACUCCCACUACGACUAGCCUUAGGCCUCAUUCGGUUUGAAGGAUUUUUAUAGGAAAAACAUGGGAACAAGGAUUCCAGAUAAAAAUUUCCUAUAUAUGCAUUCGGUUUAUAGGAAAUGCGUACAUGAAUUUCGUAGGAAUACUAUUCAUUUCCUAUGCUUUUGGAGGAAACUAUACAUCCACUCAAAACUCAUUUUACGCGUAGGAACGAGGCAAGUCAAUUCCUUAAGGUGAUAAGUGACAUCCUAUCAAAUUCAUAUACUGCUCCAAAUUCCUACGUUUAGAUUUUCUCCAAACCGAAUGAGCCCUAUGUAUGUUGUGCUUUGGAAGCAAGAGCAGCUCCAACCGUUUCCUUAAAAAACUUGGUGGUUUUGCCGGAUGACCAUAAUUUAGAGGAAGUUGUCCGAAAGCAGCUUUUGUCAUUUUUUUGGCAAUUUUCUUUCCCUAUUUUGUUCUUUCAUUUUUUUCAUUAAACUUUUGUAGCUAAUGGCCGAGGGCCUGCAAGUCAAUGGUGGAGCGACGACGUGAGGUUAGUGGCCAGGCGGCAACAGCGACACGUGGCUAGCAGCGCGGUCCUAGUUGUGAGGCAGCGUGAGGCUAGUGCAUCGCGAGGUUGGCGAGGUCAUGGGGCAACAACGCGAUAGCUCGGUCCGGCGGGGCGGCGAUGGCUCAUAAAGUUUCAGUUUUCAGGCGGUUUCUAGCCCUCUAGAACUUUAUGGGAAGAUGAUCUUCCUGUAAACCUGAUGGAGCAUUGGUUUACAUGACCCUCUAAAGUUACAGGUUUACGAGAUCUGUUGGAGGGUGUUCUUUCUUCAACUUCCCGUAAAUGCCAAAUUUUUUUACAUACAUGGGAGCUGUUUGAAACGCUCUAAGGUCGAGUGAAUGUGCCCAAUUGUCGGCUCAUUGUACUUCUCAAGGAAAGAGAGCAUCAAAUGUGGCAGCGUCGUCGUUGUAUUUUUCGUUCUUUCUUAUUCUCCGCGGUAAAGGUUCGACAACACCAAGGGCCUCUUUGAUUCGCCUCUUUGAAUCGCGGGAUUCUAAAGCCGCGGGAAUAGAGAAAACAUAAGAUUGGAUUGUGUUGCUCAUCUCAAUCCUACAUAAUUUUGGGUUGUUUGAUUGUACUAGUAAACGUGUACAUGCAACGCACGUAUAACUAUACAAAAAAUUCCUUAUUCAUCUGAGUUAAUUAGCAGCCAAUAAUUUAAUAAUGCACUAAUACUUUGAUGGUAUGUGAUCAGUACUGUUAAACUUGGCCAUACCAUGAAGCUCUUUUUAUAUCUUAUUAUGUCUCAAUCUUCAAUUUUGCAUAGGUACAAGAAAUAAGGAGUUAGACUGUGACAUUAGAACAAUGGUCAGAUAUAUAGCAGCUAAAAAUAUCAGCAUGAAAUGUCAUGCAGCAACCAGCAACAAAUAUAAGUGUGCACGGAAAUGAAACAUUAUCAUUGGAAUGACAAGAUAGAAAUGAAAACAUCAUCAUCACUUGAACUGAAAAAUUAUAAUAAGCAUGACUUUAUUGCAGUAGUAACAUAGAGUAAAGAGAGAACCAAGUUUGCAUUGAAAUGUGAAGCAGCAAGUCACUGAAAAAACAAUGUGAACAAAACAAAGCAGAGAGGAAAGACCUCCGGUCCGGUGGCUGCGUGUCCCCUGGCUGUGCGAGAUGAGGGGGAGGUGUGAACUGGCGUCCCCGACGACGGCAAGGCGGUUUAGGCAGCGUCUCCUCGACGGCCGGCCAGGUGGUGUAGAGGCAGCGUCCCCAACGGCCGUCAAGGUGGCAUCUCCCCGGCGGUCCACCGGGCGGUGUAGGAGGCGGCGUCCCCGGCGGACGGCCUGCCAGGCGGUGUAGGAGGCGGCGUCCCCGGUGGACGGCCGGCCAGGCGGUGUAGGAGACGGCGUCCCUGGCGGACGGCCGGCCAGGUGGUGUAGGAGGCGGCUUCUGGUCGACGGUGUCGCCGACGGCCGAGGCCAGGCGAGGUGAUGGGUGGGCGGCACGGAGAUGUGAGGGUCGACAGAUCGAGGCGAUGGGGGCGGCUUGUGGGGCGGCUCGAUGAAUGGGAUCGGGGUCGUGAACGUACAGCGGUUUCCCCGUUAGUUUCCUUUCGUGCAAUAGGAAGGGGAUCGGGGAAGGGAAAGGAGUGUUUAGCGCUAAACGUGUUUAGUCACUCAUCAUUAGGACAAUGACAACAGUUGGAUUGAUGCGAACGGGUGGCUGAGAUGUGUUGGAUCUGCUUCUCUCGGUCUUUUUAUAUUGAUAUAAAUAUAGAAAGAACAAAUGAUUCCUUUAAAGAAGUUAGACUAGAUGCUAGAAAUCAUGCGCGAAGUAGUAAAAAAAAUCCUUUUUUUGUGAAACUAGAAAAAAAAAA
rnacentral:lncRNA from 1 species